rnacentral:lncRNA from 1 species
GGAUGAAACUGUGAAAUCUGCUAUGAUUAAAUGGGCACAAGAUUUAGGACAUAAUAUCAUGUUUGCUGACUGGGAACAGUUGUGGACCACAGGUAUGAAAUUUACGGCAUGUAAUGCCCUAAGAGAGAAUAUUAUGAAAAUGAUAUAUAGGUGGUACAUGACCCCAGUCAAGCUUGCAAAAAUCUAUCAUUUGCCCGACAAUAAAUGCUGGAAAUGUAAAGAAACUGAAGGUACAUUCUUUCACCUUUGGUGGACAUGCCCAAAGAUUAAGGCUUUCUGGGAAAUGAUAUAUAACGAAUUGAAAAAGGUAUUUAAAUAUACCUUCUUGAAGAAACCAGAGGCCUUCCUCCUGGGCAUAGUCGGCCAAUUGGUGUUAAAGAGGGACAGAACUUUCUUUAUGUAUGCCACAACAGCAGCAAGAAUUCUUAUUGCAAAGUAUUGGAAGACACAAGAUCUACCCACCUUGGAAGAAUGGCAGAUGAAGCUGAUGGACUAUAUGGAACUGGUGGAAAUGACUGGCAGAAUCCGAGACCAGGGAGAAGAGUCGGUGGAAGAAGAUUGGAAGAAAUUCAAAGAUUAUUUGCAGAAAUAUUGUAAAAUUAAUGAAUGUUAGAAUGAUGUUCGAUAAAAACUAAGUGGUUCUUAGCUGAAAUGUUACAAGGGAAGAUGAAAAAAGGGUUUAUUAUGUAAUAUGUAAAAAUCUAAAAUUACAAUAUUUUUAUGAUUAAUGAUUAGGAUACUAAAAGAGGGGAGGGAACUGCUGAACAAAAUAUUUGAACUGGAAUACAAAAAAAGGGAGGCGUGAGGAGGUCGGGGAAACAAGGAAAUGAAAGAUAAGACAUUGAAAGACUAAUCUGUUUUUUCUUUUUUAACUGUUUUUAUUUUGUAUUUUGUAUUUUUGUAUUUUUAUAUCUUUCUUUUUCUCAUCUGUUUUCUUUUUUCUUUUUUCGCUUAUUUUUGUAAUAUGUUGAAACUUUAAUAAAUAUCUUUUAAAAAAAAAUAAAGGUGCUACUACUACUUGGGUAAACAGCUCCCCCCCCCCCGCAUGUCUUUGCUUCCCAUUCAUCAAAAACAGCCUCCUUGCUUAGGGGGGAGCCGAUAUAGAUAUAUCAGAAAGCUUGCUCUAUUUGGGGGAGAAUCCUAGGAACUGAACAACAAAAAGAAAACUGAGUUAUACGUAAUAAGAAAAAAUGUGACAUUACUGCCAACUUCUCUUUCAGAACCUCCUGCACACCCUCAUUCAUUCCUAGCCUGAUCUUAUUGCAUUGGAAGAUAGUCCCACCCACCUGGAUGAAUGUGCAGUAGGUAAGUGAAAUUCACUGGUAUAAAACUUUAUUUCAAUCUUUCGCUAAACAAGGUGGCGUCUUUCUCAUUCUGUCUCAGCCCAUCUCCUUCAUCCUUACUGAUAUCUCUUCCUAAGCAGGAAUGAUGAGCUUGGCCAUAGCAAAAGAAAUAUGACUGAACCCCAAUUUUGGAGAGACAUUACAUAUCAGAUAAUACUGCCAGAAGACCAGGAAAUGCUGUACUGUCUUCGUCUCUUGGCACCAAUCAAAACUCAAUGAGAAAAAAUCCAGAGGGGUGUGGCCCAUGUGGAAGAUUCAGUUAUAUUGCAGAUAUAUUGCACAUAUAUGACUUUUGGCUUAAUAGACAGAUGUUGUAGGUUUAUGUGUUGUUCAGUGGGCUCCUGGCUCUCACAGCUCUGGGUUUUGCAUGGAAUUCUAGCUGAGUCAAACAUCUUUGUGAUAUUUUCCAUUUCUUAGAGGAAACCUCUGCUCCAGAAGAGGAGACAAGAUUUCCACAUGCAGUCAUUCAGCGUGGAAAGACAUAUCAAUGGGACUUUGCAAUCUGCUGCGGAUGCUGUGACAUAUAACGAGUAUAACGGCACUUAAAAUAGCUCAUCUAAUGACCAAGAAGAUUUCCAAUAUAAGGAAUAUGAAGAAUCUAUAAUAUAUAGCUUCAUUUUAGUUAUCUGCUGUAUGGGAUUUUUGGGGAAUGGAACUGUCAUCUGGCUUCUUGGUUUCCGCAUUAGGAGGAAACCGUUCACCACCUACAUCCUUAAUUUGGCUGUUGCUGACUUUGCAUUCCUCCUGAGCUUAGAGAUCUAUGCUUUUAUUUGGUUUCCUUAUAAUGUUGAUAAUAUUGUUGUAUGUCUCUUAUCCUUCACAUACAACACUGGCCAACUUCUUCUGACAGCCAUCAGCAUUGACAGAUGUGUGUCUGUCCUCUUCCCUAUUUGGCAUCGGUGUGUUCGGCCGACACAUUUGUCCACCACUGUGUGUGUCCUCAUAUGGGUCCUCUCCUGUCUGCUCUCCAUAGUCCUCUACAUUCUCAAAGAAACAUUUCCCCUUACACCAGAUAACAUCUAUCAUUAUAUCCUCACAAUAUAUUUUCAAUUUCUCUUGACUGGACUGCUUUGCCUCCCACUCAUGACAAUUUCAACUGUGAUCCUUUUCAUCAAAGUCUGUUCUAAAUCACACCCACGAAAGCGAGGAAGGCUUUUAAUGGUUAUUUUACUUACACUCCUCUUCUUCCUCAUGUUUGCUUUCCCACUCAAUGCCAUUCUUCUCGAUAGAUUAAUUUUACACCUGAAAAUUCCCGUUCGAGUCCUUUAUGCCUUUUUGUGUGCCUCCCUCAACAGCAGUGUGAACCCCUUGCUUUAUUUUCUGGUUGGGAGGAAGAAGGGUGGUCAAUCUAGGGAGAGCCUACUGGUCAUCCUCCAGCGGGUUUUGAAUGAGGAGGAGAAUGACAGACAGGAAAUGGAUCCUCCUUGUUCAAUCCCACUUAGGAACCUUUCAUAAGAGUUCUUGGGCUGUAUUUUGUUCUUGGACUGCAUUGAUGACUCUUGCUCACCAGAAAAAGAGGAUUGGGUUUUGCUGACAAUUUUGAGGUUUGUGUAGCUGAAAUGUAUCCUAUUCUACAAAGGCAGGAGUCAUGUAUUUCUUUUCCCAUUUUUUCUUCUGUGUCCCUCCCCCCCUCCAUGGUAUACUGCCCCUGAAAUGUUGGCCAUGGAGAUAUAAGGCCCUACAGCUCAAAAUGCUCCAUACUGUGCACCUAUAUUGCACAAGCACAUGGGACACAACUGGUACCGCAUUUCCCCCCACAAGUCCUUUGCACCUGCCAUCCUAGCAGGUUUCUCUUGUCUUGUGCUCAAGAAAUCUGAAGAUUGCUCAGACAACCAUAGUCUCAAGGUUGUAAAAAAGUAUACCUUUGAAUGAGAGAGUUACUGGGAAUCUCCCUUGUUAUUUUUGAUGUAGUUUAGGUGACCUUGUUAUAGUAUUGACAUGUAGUUUAUUUUAUGUUAUGAUAUGUUUGUUUUCCCAUGUUAUCAUGGUAUUAUAACUACAUUGUUCUUUUUUGUUAUUAUGAAAUUGUUUUUGUAUGGUUUGUUUGAAAUGCAUCCCUGUUUUGUUGUUGUAAGCCACUUUGGGCAUGGGUUUUCGUAUGGGAAUUUGGGGGGCGGGAAAUAAAAUGAAUGAAAUGAAAUUUUAGACUCUGUAAUCUUGGCAAAUCUUGGGUUUGGAUUACAUUGUUAAUGAACCUGCAAGAAAUGACUACGGGCAGGGAAUUAACUCAUCUGUGUCUUUGAGUCAAUGGAGCUUGCCCAACACUUAAAAGUGAUAGGUACAAGAACAUUAUGCCUCAGAUGUAUAGGAGCUCAUAACAUUGGAAAUUCCUUUGUAUAGUAACUGUUACCCAUUUGCAGACCUUUACAGUAGUUGUGUUAAAUAAACACUUCUCAUUUUAAGUCCAAGCAUUGUUUUCAAGUCUCAUGACUUGGAAAUGUCCUGGCACAAGCGUAAACCAAAAUAUGAUCCAGAGUUGUGAACGGUGGACACAGAGGGCAUCUGAGCAUCUAGUGAUAGAGAUGAAUCCAAAGUACCCCCAAACUUUACACUCGCUUCUUCAAAGGGAGUGCAACCCUACUCAGAAAAGGAACUUGCCAAUUUCCAAAACAUGGGGACCACUCACCCAAAGAGCUCCAUCUUCCUAGAAUUCAAACACAGUUGAUCAACCCUCAUCCAGACCACCACUGCAUCUAUACACUGGUUCAAAGCUUUCACAGUCUCUCCCGAUUCAUAUGUUAUGGAAAAGGAGAGUUGUGUGUUAACAUCAUAUUGCACUGUGGAUACCUUGCUCCAAAACUCCUAAUGACCUCAUCCAAUGGCUUCAUAUAGAUAUUAAUGUUAACUGGAGUUCAAAUAAUAUGAUCGUAAGCACAACAUAUUAUGUAAAGAAGCUUAGCAUAUAUUUGAUCUGCUUCAGUAUUUUAACCACGGCUAAUUACCUGAAAGAGCGUCUCCAUCCCCAUUGUUCAGCCCAGACACUGAGGCCCUUCUCCGAGGGCCUUCUGGGAAUUCCCUCACUGCCAGAAGUGAGGUUACAGGGAACCAGGCAGAGGGCCUUCUCUGUAGUGGCGCCUGCCCUGUGGAAUGCCCUCCGAUCAUGUGUCAAGGAAAUAUACAAGUAUCCGACUGUUAGAAGACAACUGAAGGCAGCUCUGUUCAGGGAAGUUUUUAAUGUUUGAUAUCUUGACAUUUUAUUAUUAUUAUUAGUAGUAGUAGUAGUAGUAGUAGUAGUAUUCUGUUGGGUGCCACCCAGAGUGGCUGGGGUAUUAUUAUUAUUAUUAUUAUUAUUAUUAUUAUUAAGAGAUGGGUGACCAGGUGGAUUGAGAGAUGGGUGACCAGGUGGAUUGAGAGAUGGGUGACCAGGUGGAUUGAGAGAUGGGUGACCAGGUGGAUCGGCUCCCUUCCACAGGUCACAGCAAAUGGCUCUGACUCCUUGACCCCCUCCACAUACUUGGGUACUCAAGAGCAACCCCCCACUUUACCACAGGCAAUCAUGUCUCCUCACCAAUAGUCACCUUCCCCACCCAAUAAAAGACGCAAGCGGGACAAAUGCUUUUUUGUAGUGUGUACGUGUGUGUAUGUGUAUGUGUGUUUUAUUGUAUCCCUCUUUCUUUCUUUUUUUGUAAGACAUUUUGGGCAUGGGUUUUUGUGUGUGAAAAUGAGGGGGAACAAAAUGAAUGGAAAGAAAUUUUAAACUCAUUAAUCCUGGCAGAUCUUGGGUUUGGAUUGUACUGUAAAUGUACCUCCAAGGAAUGACUAUGAGCAGGGAAUAAACUACUCUGGAGCUUGCCCAACACUUUGAAGGGACAGGUACAACAACAUUAUGCCUCAGAUGUAUAGGAGCUCAUGCUGUUGGGGAUUGCUUUAUAUAGUAACUUUUACCCAUUUGCAGACCUUUAACUGUGUUAAAUAAGCAUGACACAUUUUAGAUCCAAACAUUGCUUUCACAUCUCAUCACUUGCAAAUGUCCUGGUGCAAGUGUCAACCAAAAUAUGACCCGGAGUUGUGAAUGGGGGACACAGAGGACACUUGAGCAUCUAAUGACACAGACGAAUCCAGAACUACCCCCAAACUUCACACUCACUCCUUCAAAGGGGAUCACAAUCCCACUCAGAACAGGGAACUUGCCAGUUUCCAAAACAUGGGGAACCCCUCCCCACGCAAAGAGCCCCCAUUGUCCUCGAAUUCAAAUACAGUUGAUCAGCCCUCAUCCAGACCACUACUGCAUCAAGACACUGGUUCAAAGUUUUCACAGUCUUUCCCAAUUCAUAUGUUAUGGGAAAGGAGAGCUGUGUGUCAACAUCAUCACAGUGCUGACACCUUGCUCCAAAACUCAUAAUGACCACAUCCAAUGGCUUCAUAUAUAUAUUAAAUGCAGUGGUACCUCGGGUUAAAGAUGCUCCAGGUUACAGACACUUCAGGUUACAGACUCCGGUAACCCAGAAAUAGUACCUCAGUUAAGAACUUUGCUUCAGGAUGAGAACAGAAAUUGCAUGGCGGCAGCAGCAGGAGGCCCCAUUAGCUAAAGUGGUACGUCAGGUUAAGAACAGUUUCAGGUUAAGAAUGGCCGUCCGGAACAAAUUAAGUUCUUAACCCCAGGUUCUACUGUAGAUAUUAAUGUUAAUUGGAGUUCAAAUAAUAUUACCGUAUACACAAUAUAUCAUAGCAAAGCUUAGCAUCUAUUCAAUCUGCUUCAGUAUUUUAACUUUUGUAUGUUUUAAAGUAUGGUUGUGAUUUUUCGUGAUUUUUCUAUUCAUUCUUUUGUAAGCUGCUUUGAGGUGUGUGUUUUUUCUUUUUUCCCCAAUCAAGCAGUGUAUAAAUUUUAUGAAAUAAGUGAAAAGAAAUAAACAUUACAUUGGUAACCAUGGAAUUGCCUGCUAAUGAAGGGGGGCAUGACGGAUGACCUGGUGGAUCAGGUCCCUUCCAUGGGUCACAGCAAAUGGCUCUGACUCCUUCCCCCCUCCACCUAGUUGGCCUACUCAAGAGCAACCUUCCCUCCCACCCUAGGUAGUCAUGUCUCCCCACUAAUAGUCAACUCCCCCACCCAAUAAAAGGCACAUAGGGACAAAUGCUUUUGGCCGUUAAAAGGCCAGGAAGUGUUAUCUUGCUUAGACAGCCUUGAUUAGAAAUCUGGAGAUGAGGUCUAGAGUUAUUCCAUUUGUCUGGUACAGAUAAAGAAGUACGUGAGACAUGAGCUGCUUCGUCCAGAACCAAUUACAAACCUAGUCUUCAUGACUGUAGCCUUCUGGGACAUAUAUGACAAUAGUCUCCUCCUCCUUGGUGAACUGAUAAUUAUCUUCAUAUCCAAUUAAAGAGCAUCCUCUUGCCUAUGAGGCAGAGAAUCAAAUUAAACCCAGAUGAAGAACAGGAGGGACCGUUUUGCACCUUUGAGUGAGACUGGUAAGAUUUAUCAUUUUCUCCAUGGGGCAUGAGUGGGGCCACAUUUUCUGUCUCUUAAGUGCUUAGGACCUACCAUUCCAGUGCAAGAUGCUGUGUCUUGUUCUCUUGCACUCACCAUCUCUGAAGACUGCGGACCUGCAGUUAGUCACAAGGUUGGGUGAAACAUUCACAGGAGAGGCCAGAGCUGCGGUGCUUGCAGAAGGUUAAUUCCCAAGUACUCCAAGGUAGGGUUGGAAAGACGACUUUUUAAAAUGCUAGAGAGUGGCACUGAGAGUCUGUUUGACAAGUCCUGAUCUUGAUAGACCAAUAGUCUGACUCAGACGCAGGAAGAAGACUUCCUGAGGUUUUUGCCAAGGGAGAGAACAAACAUUGUAUCCAGACACAAUGAGAUUAAUGUAUUUUAACAGGUAUGCAGAACAGACUGGGUCAUUUCAAGUGAUCCAAGUCCAGCGCAGGCAAUUCACCUCUGACUGAUCAGUAAAGUCUUGGGAAUGUUGGUCUUAUUAAGGCAAUAUUUAGGGAGCAGAUAUCCAUGUUCCUAGAAGCAAACACAAUGAUGGGAUUCCGCUUAAUAUAUAAACAUAUACACUCUCUUUAAUUCUUGAAUUCCUUUUUCUGUUCUGUGAGUGACUAAACCCUUAGCGUUAAGCUACAAAACAAUAGGUUCAUUUCUCUCCUUUCCAUAAGUCACUCUUUGAGUGUUUAUAAUAAUUAAAUUAAACCCAGAUGAAGAACAGGAAGGACCGUUUUGCAUCUUUGAGUGAGACUGGUAAGAUUUAUCAUUUUCUCCAUGGGGUAUGAGUGGGGCCACAUUUUUUUCUCUUAAGUCCUUAGGACUUGCCAUUCCAGUGCAAGACGCUGUGUCCUUAUUCUCUUGUACUCACCAUCUCUGAAGACUGCUGAUCUGCAGUUAGUCACAAGGUUGGGUAAAACAUUUACAGGAAAGGUUGUAGCUGCAGUGCUUGCAGAAGGUUGAUUCCUAUUACCUCCAGGUAGGGUUGAAAAGACCACUUUUUAAAAUGCUAGAGAGUGGCACUGAGCGUCUGUUUGACAAGUCCAGAUCUUGAUAGACCAAUAGUCUGACUCAGCAUAAGGUGACUUCCUGAGGUGUUGCCAAUGGAGAGAACAAACAUUGUAUCCAGACACAAUAAGAUUAAUGUAUUUUAACAGUUAUGCAGAAUAGACUGGGUCAUUUCAAGUGAUCCAAGUCCAGUGCAGGAAAUUCACCUAUGAUUGAUCAGUGAAGUCUUGGGAAAGUUGGUCUUCUUAAGGCAAUACAAAGGGAGCAGAUAUCCAUGUUCCUAGAAGCAAACAUGAAAUAUACUCAGAGUCGCAAUGUGAUUUCAUGCUCUUUAUUCAGCUCAUAGUGGUGAGGAGGAAUGAAUGAAUGUCCCCUCACAGUAUCUGCUUUAUAUACAUUAUUUACACAAUGGGCUGCACAUGAUUGGUUAAUUCUGGAAUUCUACUGUAAGCCAAUCAGGUUGUGGAUUCACUUAUAUCUGGAGCAUGAUUGGGUGGUUCCUGCCAACCAAUCAUACUGCUGCAUUGUUCUUGGACCAAUCAGACUGCUGCAUUCUGAAUCCUAUUGUUCUAGGACCAAUCAGACUGCUGCAAUUUGGAUCCUAUUGUUCUAGGACUGCUGCAGUUUGGAUCCUAUUCAACUCAGUACAUAACACCCCUCCCCUCUAAGUUCCAGUCCUGCCCGGGAGGUCGCAUUCAUAGUCCUCGAGGUACGCCGGCGGCCUACGUGUGCGUUGCGGCCUGUGGUGUUCAGGUUCUGGCUCGUGUUCCAAGGAUGCUGGCUGUGAUGGGCCUGUUUGGUCUGGCGCAACCGGCUCGCUCAGUCGUGGUUCUGGUUCCGGUGUCCUUUCGGCCUCGUGGGUCCUCUCUGUAUUUACUGAUUCUGCCUCUCCUGCUGGCCCCUCCUGCUCUAUGGGCCUCACUGCCCCUCUGUUCCCUUGGGACUCCUCAGACCUUUCCUCCUCCUGGUUUUCUCCUGGGAAUCGUCGCCGUAUCUGGUCGCAGUGGCGGCGCCAGCAUUGCCCCCAUCCGUUAGCACCUCGUACGACAAGGGGCCAGUGACCCUGGUGACUGUGGCGGGUACCCAUGCUGGGCCUGCCCCAAAAUUCUUUGCGUACACUGGGUCCUGGGCCUCGAAGGUCCGGGGUUCCUGCCUUCCCCACCACUACCUCAUCCUGAGCUCUAUCGGGGUGAAGGCGGUCCAAUCUGAUUGCAAGGCGCCGACCCAUUAGUAGUUCAGCGGGGCUCCGGCCAGUCGUUGAGCUGGGGGUGCUGUGCUGUGCUAGGAGGAAUGUGGCAAGGCGGUACUCCCAAUCCCCUUGCGUCAUGCGGCGAAGGGUGUCCUUGGUGGUCCGCACCAUGCGUUCUGCUUGGCCAUUGGUGGCAGGGUGGAAUGGCGCCGAACGGAUGUGGCGGAUGGCGUUCUGCGCUGUGAAGGUUUGGAAUUCUCCUGACGUAAAUGCAGUCCCGUUGUCUGAGACGAGAGUGUCAGGGAGCCCGUGGGUUGCAAACAGCCUGCGUAGUACCCGGAUGGCUGCGGAUGUAGAAGUGGACGGUACCAGUGCGACUUCCAGCCAUUUGGUGUAGGAGUCCACCACUAUGAAGAAUGUUUUCCCCUGAAAGGGGCCAGCGAAGUCCACAUGCAGGCGUGACCAUGGUGCUCGGGCGGACUCCCAGGACUGGACUGGGGCCCUUGGGGGAUCUGGGCGGGAUUCUUGGCAGGCCUGGCAGUGUUUGACCCAGGCCUCUAUCUCUCCGUCGAUCCCUGGCCACCACACAUAACUCCUGGCAAGGGCCUUCAUUCUUACUACCCCUGGGUGUGUCUCGUGUAGGGCUGUGAGGACCCUUUUGCGGAGGGGCUGGGGAACAACGACCCUGCUUCCCCAUAACAGGCACCCCUUGUGGGCCGACAGUUCAUGUUUGCGGGUUGUGUAGCCAGCGAAUUCUGGCCCAGGGCUGCUGCUGGGCCAUCCCCUCCAUACCCAGUCCAGGACCCGGGAGAUGACCCUAUCUUUCUUGGAAUGGUGUGCAACUUCUUGUGCCUGAAUGGGGCGGUCGGGAAGCAGCUCCAGGCUCAUAACCUCUUGUGCAGGUGCUGGGUCGGGGCCUGUUUCCGGUAGUGGUAGCCUGCUGAGGGCGUCUGCAUGGCCCAUUGCCUUCCCGGGCGGUGAAUCAGUGCAUACUGGUAGCUGGCAAGGAAAAUUGACCACCUGAGGACGCGAGGAGACAGCACUUGGGGGGUCUGCUUUUCGGGGGCAAACAAGCCAAGCAACGGCUUGUGGUCAGUCACCACAGUGAAGGGCCGCCCGUACAAGAAAUCAUGGAAUUUUUUUACUCCCUUCACGAUUGCCAGACCCUCCUUGUCUAUUUGCGAGUAGUUCCGCUCGGUUGCGUUGAGUGUCUGGGAAAAGUAUGCCACCGGUACCUCUCUUCCAUCCGGGAGUUGGUGUCCCAGGACAGCGCCAAUGCCAUAGGGCGAGGCGUCGCAUGCUAGCACCACCGGCAGCCUCUCGUCGAAGUGUGCCAAGACCGAGUUUGAGACAAGCAAGUCCUUGACUGCCUGGAAUGCAGCCUCCUGGCGCUGGCCCCACACCCAAGGGGCCCGCUUGUCCAGGAGUCUGUGUAGGGGCUCUGCUACCGCCGCCUUGUGAGGAAGGAAGGAAUGGUAAAAGUUCAAUAGUCCCAAGAAGGCCUGAAGUUCAGUCUUGCUCUUGGGCGCUGGGGCAUCACAAAUGGCCCGUACCUUGUCCCCAGUCGGGUGGACCCCUUCUGCGUCCACCAUAAAUCCCAGAAAGUCCACCUGAGGCACUCCUAGUAGACAUUUUUCCCGCUUCACCUUGAGACCCGCCGUCUGGAAACGGUGCAGAACAGUGCGGAGGCGGUCCUCAAACUCCUCUGGUGUGGGCCCGGCAAUCAACACAUCAUCGAAGAAGGGGUGACGCCAGGAAUCCCUUUAAGGAGGGAGUCCAUUAGAUUCUGGAAUAUGCCUGGUGCCACGCUGACACCGAAUUGCAGCCGCUUUACCCUGAACGCUCCUCUGUGCGUCACAAUCGUCUGUGCCUCUGCUGUGGCCUCAUCUACUGGCAGCUGUUGAUAUGCUUGGGCCAAGUCCAGCUUGCCAAAAUUUUCGACCCAGCCAGGGUGGCAAGGACAUGGCUGACCACUGGCACUGGGUAUGCGUGGGCCGUGAGGGCCUUGUUUAUGGUACAUUUGUAGUCUGCGCAGAUGCGGACCGAACCAUUAGGCUUGACGGGUGUGACGAUUGGGGUUUCCCAGGGGGCAUUAGGCACCGGCUCCAGCACUCCUUGCUCCACGAGUCGGUCCAAUUCCUCGUCUAUACGGGGUUUCAAGGCGAACGGGACCCGGCGGGCCUUGAGCCUGACCGGUCGUACUGCGGGGUCAAGCUGUAGCGUAAUGGGGGCCCGUAUACUGUCCCAAUUUCCCAUCGAAAACCCCUGGAAAUUCCUUGCAUAUGGCGUCCACGUCCACUUGUAAGCUAGUGUGGUUCACCCCGGUGACAGCUAGCCCCAGUGGUCCAAACCAUGCCAAUCCCAGUAAGCUAAUGUAGGGGCCCUUGACCACAAGCAAGUCCAGUUGCCGCGUCCGCCCUCGGUAUUGCACCCUGAAGGUCCCCACCCCCAUUGUGGGGACCUUACGUUUCUGGAAGUCCCGUAGGGUGAAUGGGGCCGGCCUGAGUUUGGGACCCCCAGUAGGACACAGUUUCCUUAAGGUCCUUGCCGAGAUUAUGGAUAGAGUUGAACCCGUGUCAAGCUCCAUGCGGCAUGGGGCCCCCUCUAUCUGUACCUCUACAUAAAUUUUCUCUACGUUGGGGUGGGGCAACUGGUAUACCUGGCAGUCCGUGAGCUCCGUCGAGUUGCCUUGGUGCGUUGGGCCCCGGGACCUGGGGCUCUUGGAUUGGUCAUCUGAUGCCUGGUGUCGGGUGGGCCGAGCCCGACACACCCGGGCGAUGUGUCCCGAUUUUCUGCACUGCCUGCACUCUGCGUUGCGGAAACGGCAGGUCCUCCUCUCGUGACUCUCCCCGCAGCUUGCGCAGUUCCCUCCUUCUCGUCGAGGCAGCUGUGGUCUGUGCGCUGCUUGAGUGCGCUGCUGUACUCGGUGCACCUCCUCCCUGUCGGAUCCUGAGUCGUCUGUGAGGUCUUCGUGGUGGACCCUCGGUUGGGAUGGCAGGCUCGGCCGUGCCUCUUGCGUCGACCUCUCGGCAGCUUCCGUUGCCAGGGCCUCCUCCAGAGCGACCUGGAACGUUAGGUCCUUCUUAGCGUAGAGGCGUCGUUGCAGCUUCUCAUCCUUCAGGCCACCGACGAGGCGGUCCCGAAGCAUGUUCUCUAGCUCUGAGAAGUUGCAGAACCGGGCGGCUUGGCGGAGAGAGGUCACAAACCCAGUUAUGGUUUCCCCAGGGGCUUGCCGCUUUGCGUAGAAGGCAUUUCGACGAGCCACCACUGAGGGCUGCGGCGAAAAGUGCCCCUUCAGCUGUUCCAUUAUUGUUUUGUAUGGAACAGUAGCGACGUCUUCAGGCGCAAGGAGAGCCCGGGCGAUUUCAAACGUCUCCUCUCCGCAGACGCUGAAGAAUAUCGCCCUCUUCUUGGCGUCUUCUUCGUCGGUGACCCCUUUGGCUUCUAGGAGGAAGGUGAAACGGGAGGCGUACGCUUCCCAGUCUCCAGAUGCUGGGUUGAAUGGCGAGAAGCUGCUGUUGGCUGCCAUUCUGAGUUCCUUGUGUCCCGGAGCUGAAGCCUGGAUACACGGUGCGAGGCAGCGGUGCGGCAGGUGGCGGUGCUGCGGUGCUGUGUGUGGCAGUCAGCUCAGCGGGAUCCCACCUUCGUCGCCAGUGAAAUAUACUCAGAGUCGCAAAGUGAUUUCAUGCUCUUUAUUCAGCUCAUAGUGGUGAGGAGGAAUGAAUGAAUGUCCCCUCACAGUAUCUGCUUUAUAUACAUUAUUUACACAAUGGGCUGCACAUGAUUGGUUAAUUCUGGAAUUCUACUGUAAGCCAAUCAGGUUGUGGAUUCACUUAUAUCUGGAGCAUGAUUGGGUGGUUCCUGCCAACCAAUCAUACUGCUGCAUUGUUCUUGGACCAAUCAGACUGCUGCAUUCUGAAUCCUAUUGUUCUAGGACCAAUCAGACUGCUGCAAUUUGGAUCCUAUUGUUCUAGGACUGCUGCAGUUUGGAUCCUAUUCAACUCAGUACAUAACAAAACACAAUGAUGGGAUUCCACUUAAUAUAUAAACAUAUACACUCUCUUGAAUUCUUGAAUUCCUUUCUCUGUUCUGUGAGUGACUAAACCCUUAGCAUGAAGCAAAAGAACAAUAGUUAUCCCCCUGAAGAGUUCGUUUCUCCCCUUACUAAAAGUCACUCAUUGAGUCAACUCUCGGAGUGCCAGUAGAACACUUUCCUUACUCUUGGUCCUUACAAGUGAAGGUUAGUUACAUCCCUACCCCAUCGUAAGAAUCCUCCACACUAGUUACUUGGGUAUCUUGCCAGUUCUUGGAAAUUUCCCCAUAACCCCAGGACUACAGGAGAGGAGAAUCUGGUAGGCAAGGAGGACUGCUAAGUCUUCCCAGCAUGUUGUGUAUGAGUUUACAUACAUUGCGUAUGUAGAUGUAAACAGCUGCCAAGCUGAAAGCCAGGAAGGUGUGAUGCCACCAGCUCUCAACUGCAGCUAAAGCAACAACCCAAAUCCUAAUGCUCAGUUUCCUUGCACUAGGAAAAUGACUGGGGCAUUUGGAGGGGAGAAUAAUAUAAAUCUUCUGAAUCACCACCACCAGGGGUAUCUGUUCAUUUGUUUAUCUAUCAAGUAUGUUUGCUUCUUAAAGGUGCUACUACUACUUGGGUAAACAGCUGCCCCCCCCACGUGUUUGCUUCCCAUCCAUCAAAAACAGCCUCCAUAGUUAGGGGGGAGCCAAUAUAGACAUAUCAGAAAGCUUGCUCUAUUUGGGGGAGAAUCCUAGGAACUGAACUACAAAAAGAAAACUGAGUUAUAUGUAAUAAGAAAAAAUGUGACAUUACUGCCAACUUCUCUUUCAGAACCUCCGGCACACCCUCAUUCAUUCCUAGCCUGCUCUUAUUGCAUUAGAAGAUAGCCCCACCCACCUGGAUGAAUGUGCAGUAGGUAAGUGAAAUUCACUGCUAUAAGACUUUGUAUCAAUCUUUCUCUAAACUAGGUGGCGUCUUUCUCAUUCUUUCUCAGUCCACCUCCUUCAUCCUUAUAGAUAUCUCUUCCUAAGCAGGAAUGAUGAGCUUGGCCAUAGCAAAAGAGAUAUGACUUAACCCCAAUUUUGGAGAGACAUUACAUAUCAGACAAUAAUGCCAGAAGAUCAGGGAAUGCUGUACUGACUUCUUCUCUUGGCACCAAUCAAACCCAGUUUCCAGGUAAACUAACUCACUAAAGUCCAAAAAAAAACUCAAUGAGAAAAAAUCCCGAAAGGGUUGUGACCCAUGUGGGGGAUUCAGUUAUAUUGCAAAGAACUGCACAUAUAUGACUUUUGGCUUGAUAGACAGAUGUUGUAGGUUUAUGUGUUGUUCAGUGGGUUCCUGGAUCCCACAAUUCUGGGUUUUGCACAGAAUUCCAACUGAGUCAGACAUCUUUGUGAUAUUUUCCAUUUCCUAGAGGAAACUUCUGCUCCAGAAGAGGAGGCAAGAUUUCCACAUGCAGUCAUUCAGCAUGGAAAGACAUAUCAAUGGGACUUUGCAAUCUGCUGCAGUUUCUGUGACAUAUAAAGAGUAUAAUGACACUUAUAAUAGCUCAUCUAAUGACCAAGAAGAUUUCCAAUAUAAGAAAUAUGAAUUAUCUAUAAUAUAUUGCUUCGUUUUCGUUUUCUGCUGUGUGGGAUUUUUGGGGAAUGGAACUGUCAUCUGGCUUCUUGGUUUCCGCAUUAGGAGGAAACCGUUCACCACCUACAUCCUUAAUUUGGCUGUUGCUGACUUUGCAUUCCUCCUGAGCCUACAGUUCCAUAGUUUUAUUAGGUUUCCUGAUGAUGUUCUUGAUAGUAUUGAUGAAUGUCUCUUAUCCUUCACAUACAACACUGGCCAACUUCUUCUGACAGCCAUCAGCAUUGACAGAUGUGUGUCUGUCCUCUUCCCUAUUUGGCAUCGGUGUGUCCGGCCAACCCAUUUGUCCACCACUGUGUGUGCCCUCAUAUGGGUCCUCUCCUGUCUGCUCUGCGUAAUCCUCUACAUUCUUGAAAACUAUUACACCUUUCCAUAUUGGUUAUCAGAAACAGGCCAAUAUGUCUUGACUGGACUGCUUUGCCUCCCGCUUAUGACAAUUUCAACUGUGAUCCUUUUCAUCAAAGUCUGUUUUAAAUCACACCCACGAAAGCGGGGAAGGCUUUUAACGGUUAUUUUACUUACACUCCUCUUCUUCCUUGUGCUUGCUUUCCCACUCAAUGCCCUUCUUCUUGCCAUAUCCAUCAUGGGCUGGAAUAUUCGUGAUCUAUUCCAUUAUGCCUUUUUGUGUGCCUCCCUCAACAGCUGCGUGAACCCCUUCCUCUAUUUUCUGGUUGGGAGGAAGAAGGGAGGUCAGUCUAGGGAGAGCCUACUGGCCAUCCUCCAGCGGGUUUUGAAUGAGGAGGAGAAUGACAGACAGGAAAUGGUCCAUUCUUGUUCAAACCCACUUAGGAACCUUUCCUAAGAGUUCUUUGGUCUGGCUGUAAUAUGUCCUUGGACUGCAUUGAUGACUAUUGCUCACCAGAAAAAGAUGCUGGGGUUUUGUUGAAAAUUUUGAGGUUUGUAUAGCUGAAAUGUAUCCUACUUUACAAAGGGAGGAAUCAUGUCUUUUGUUAUCUCAAUCUUUCUUCUGUGCCCCACUCACCUAUUGUAUACAGCCCCUGAAAUGUUAGCUACGAAGAUAUGAAGCCCUUUGGCUGAAAGAUGCUCCAUACCAUUUAACUGUACUGUACCAGCUGCACCACUUUCUACAGCAAACCAAAGUCUACUUGGAAGUUCUGAUGAUGACCUUUAAACCUAACCUAUUUGUAACUUGGGUAUUUCAAGGACUGACUUCACUCCUGUGAGACCACCUGCACCGUAUGAUUUAAUUCACAGACUCUACUUAGGUGCCUGUCAGCAAUCAUAGGCAGAACCAGGCAGAGGGCCUUCUAGGUAGUGGCGCCGUCCCUGUGUAAUGCCCUCCUACCAGAUGUCAAAGAGAACAACAACUACCAGACUUUUAGAAGACGUCUGAAGGCAGCCCUGUUUAGGGAAGCUUUUAAUGUUUGAUGUAUUACAGUAUUUUAAUAUUUUUUUGGAAGCCACCCAGAGUGGCUGGGGAAGCCCAGCCAGAUGGGUGGGAUAUAAAUAAAUUAUUAUUAUUAUUAUUAUUAUUAUUAUUAUUAUUAUUAUUAUUAUACAAAUAGGCCACAUUUGCAGAAUUUAAUUCCACGUUUGAUUAAACAACCUCGUGGUGCUUUAGUUGAGAUUCCUGGGUUGCAGGAGGUUGGACCAGAUGCCCCUGAAUGCCCCUUCCAACUCCACAAUUCUAUGAGUGUAUGAUUCCAGGAGUUUCUGAUUUCAGUUCUCUGCAAGAACAGGCAAGGUCCAUUCUUUUAGAGAUUUAAGCAUUUCCUGAAGACCACACACACACACACACACACACACACACACACACACACACUUCGCAGUGUGUUCAGCUUCAUCUAUCACUCUUUAGAUAUAUAUUUUUAGUGAAUAGUAGGAAUUUUGGGUGCCUAUUUUUUUAUAUAAAAAACCCACCUGUUUUGUAUUUUUGAUGGGUGUCAUUUUGUCCUUUCACAAUGCUAUCUGAAGAGUUGGCUUCCUGAAAAUCAGUCUAUAUUUAUGUUCAAUAAACAAGCAAAGAAUGAUACCAUAUUGAGGCGAGGACUUGUAUUAACUGCUGACAUAUACAUUACGAUGCAUGGUAUUUUCUUUUUUGCCCUGCGUUUGUGUCUGUUUAGAUCUGCUUUCUCUUGUUGUUGUCCUGUACUCUACCCAUAAAUAAAAACCAUUCUGGAAAUGCUUUUGUAGAAGCGUUUUUAAAAAUACAUUGAAUUUCCCAUAAGGCUCACCAUUGCCACCUAUUGUCACUUUGUCUAUUGCACUUAAAACCUUUUAUUUGCAACUGCAUGGCUGAGUCCUGGGUUAAGGAAAUAAUUGCAUGCAGAUGAGGGUGAUGGACAGCUAGUGAAGGACCCUGAGUGAAAAGCAGGGAAGGGGAGAUCUACCAGGGUGAGAGAAACUCCCGGGUAAAAGCUGAGGGGGGGACACACUUUAUUCUGUCUGGUAUAAAAGGGAAGAUAUAUUUGUGAGACAGGACUUUGAAUUGUACUAUCUCUUUCUCCCUCCUUGUUUCUUUUCUUUUUGAUUAGAAUAGUUUGUUUUUCAUUGUAUUACAAAAUUUCUUAAUAAAAUUUCAGUUUUAAAAAGAACACAUGGUAUUUGCAUAUAUCUUGGGUGUCUGCCUUACCCAAUCUCCUGUUAAGGAAGACAGCCAGCUUAAGUUAAGGUGGGCUUCAGUGACAUGUAGCUAGAAAAGAACUGUCACUCUCAUUGCCCGUUCACCUGUAGAAAGAAAUAAUAAUAAUAAUAAUAAUAAUAAUAACAACAAUAAUUUAUCCAGGGUUGUAAAGAAUGCAGAGAGAAUAAUUGGGUGCACUCUUCCCACCUAAGAUCAAAUCUAUGCUGCCAGGUGCCAUAAGAAAGCGGCAGAGAUAGCACAGGAUAGUACACACCCCGGAAAUGAUCUCUUUCAGCUUCUGCCUUUGGAAGAAGGUAUAGGGUUAUAAAGGCCAGGACCUGAGAAACAGUUUCUACGCAAAUGCAAUUCUGGUUCUAAAUGCAGCAUAAGGGGUUUCUACAGUAUAGUGUAUUUUAAAAUAGGGUUUUAGAGUUUUUAGGGGUUUUUGAAUGUUUUAUGUAGUUUUUAUGUAGUUUUAUGUAGUUUUUAUGUAGCUUUAUGUAGUUCUGUGGUAGUUUUAUGUAGUUUCUAUAUAGUUUUAUGUAGUUUUGCAAUUUCAUUGUCCUGCAUGGGACAAUGACAAUAAAGAUAUAUCUAUAUCUUUAUACCCUGCCCAUCUGGCUGGGUUUCCCCAGCCACGGUGGUGGGCUUCCAACAGAACACUAAAAUACAAUAACCUAUUAAACAUUAAAAGCUUCCCUAAACAGGGCUGCCUUCAGAUGUCUUCUAAAAUUUGUUAGUUGUUUUCCUCUUUGACUUCUGGUGGGAGGAAGUUCCACAGGGCGGGUGCCACUACUGAGAAGGCCCUCUGUCUGGUUCCCUGUAACUUGGCUUCUCGCAGCAAGGGAACCGCCAGAAGGCCCUCGGCGCUGGACCUCAGUGUCUGGGCAGAACGAUGGAGGUGGAGACGCUCCUUCAGGUAUACAGGACCAAGGCCAUUUAGAGCUUUAAAGGUUAGCACCAACACUUUGAAUUGUGCUCAGAAAUGUCCUGGGAGCCAGUGUAGGUCUUUCAAGACCGGUGCUAUAUGGUCUCGGAGGCUGCUCCCAGUCACCAGUCUACAGAAGUCUCUUUAUAAUUUUUAUUAAAUUUUCUGUUUUACAGUUUAAAAAAACUCAUUUUGACAUCCUUAAGAACCAACUGCUCUUGCAUCCCACUCCACUUCUCACCUAUGGAUUUACACAGGGAAGAAACAGCAAGACAUUUCGGAAAAUCUUAUUUUCCCUUCUGUGCUCACCCCCUCCCUACAAAAUGUGCAUAUUGGGCAAAUGUUUUUUUGCUGUUAAAGGGCAAGGAUGGUUUUAUCUGUUAUCAUGAAAGGUCCUGAGAUGUUUUAUUUGGCCGUUACAGAUAAAGAAGCACAUGAGACGUGUGUUCAGUUUCCCCUUCAGUACGCAUUACAAACUGGCAUUUGGGGACAUAGGUCUUUAAAUGACAAGAGUCUCCUCCUCCUAGACCAGAUGGCAUUUAUCCUCACAACCACAAAAAGAACAUGAUCUUGCUACAUGAGGCAGGGAAACGGAUUAAGGCAAGACGAAGAAUGGGUGGGAUCGGCAUGUGAUUGGUAAGAUUUUUCCAUUUCUCUUUGAGGAAUGAUUGGUGCCCCAUUGCCUUGCUAAGACCUACCAUUCUGUUGCAGGAUACUGUGACCCUGUUGUCUUCUGAUCACCAUAUCUGAAGACUCCCAAUCCAUAUUUUGUCAGCAAGCUGUAAAAUAACUACCCUCUGGGUGGUUGGGUGAAGCUUAUUGACAGAGCAAAUUAGAAGCAUGCAUGGGGAAAGAUGAAGGAAGAAAUGGCCAAGUAGCUCAGUGAUUUGCAUAUGGAAUGUCUCCAUUUUAGACUCCAGCUGGGAUCAGAGACAACCUUCUUUGAAAUCCCUAAGAGUGUCUGGUAGUCAAUGUGACCAAUACUGAACUAUGUAGAUGGACAAAUGAUCAGAGUCAGUUUAAGGCAGAUUCUUAGGGGAGAGAGGGGAGAGGAGAGAGAACAUGGGAUCCAGAGUCAAUAAGUGCAUGGUGUGUUGCAAGUAUUGUAGAAUACAUCAUAGAAUUGUAGUGUUGGAAGGGACCAUGAGGACCAUCUUGUCCAAGCUCCUGCAAUGCAGGAAUCUUUCAACCAAAGUGGGGCUCAAACUCACAACCCUUCUGAAGCAGUAAUUUUGUUUCCUGCUAGUAGCUAGUAAAUUAGGAUACAGUGGUACCUCGGGUUAUGAACUUAAUUCGUUCUGGAGGUCCGUUCUUAAUCCGAAACCGUUCUUAACCUGAGGUGUACUUUCGCUAAUGGGGCCUCCCACUGCCGCCACGCGGUGGCCUCACAAUUUCCGUUCUCAUCCUGGGGCAAAGUUUGCAACCUGGAGCAACUACUUCCAGGUUAGCGGAAUUUGUAACCCGAAGUGUUUGUAACCAGAAGUGUUUGCAACCCAAGGUACCACUGUACAGGAAUCUCCUUUAUAUCAUAUACAAUUAUAAUGUUUUUGAUCCAAACUGCACUGCAGACAGGCUUUCUUCCCCCUUCCUUUUAGACCGAGCAGAGCACCGAACUCGAUCUCAGAGUCGCGGGUUUGAGCCCCACGCUGGGCAAAAGAAUCUUGCAGUGCAGAGGGUCGUUCUAGAUGGAGCUUUCCAACUCUACAGUUCUAUGAUUCUAUGUCUUUGCAGACAGGUUGGCAAGUGUGAAAAAGGGGGGGGGGGACCCAUCCAUCUGAAGGCAGAGUUUGCAGCCAAAUCCUUCCAGCAAAGAGACAACUUUAAAGGGGCUCGCUGCCUGUACCAAACAGCUGACAGUGAGCUCCACAUGCCAAACCUAGCUCCUGAUAGCUUCUGAUAGCCAGUGUGGUGUAGUGGUUAAGAGGAGUAGUCUUGUAAUCUGGGAAACCGGGUUCGUGUCUCUGCUCCUCCACAUGCAGCUGCUGGGUGACCUUGGGCCAGUCACACUUCUUUGAAAUCUCUCAGCCCCACUCACCUCACAGAGUGUUUGUUGUGGGGGAGGAAGGGAAAGGAGAAUGUUAGCCGCUUUGAGACUCCUUAAAGGGCGUGAAAGGCUGGAUAUCAAAUCCAAACUCUUCUUCUUCUUCUUCUUCUUCUUCUUUCUAGUCAUGUAUUCUUUACAUGCCACACAGUUGAUAUCACAUAUGAUAUCAUGUGUGUGACAGGCAGGUGAGGUUUGGGAGAAACAGCCUUACCAGCAAAAUUAGGUCUCGUUUGGACUGCUGGCUGGAGGCUCCUCAUUCCUAGCACACCUUUUCCCUACCUGAAAUCCUGCAAACUCCAACUCCGACUAUCCACAGCCAGCAUGACUAAUGGUCAGGGAUGAUGAGAAUUGUAGUCCAAAUCAUCUGGAGAAUGCCAGGUGGGAGAUGCUGGUCAGCACUGGCUGGCAGCACCUGUCCACUGUUUCAGGCAGGGAUUUUCUCAGCCCUACCUGCAGAUGCCAAGAAUGACACCUGGGACCUUCUCCAUGCAAACCGAGAUCUGGUUCCUCCUUUGCUUCUCCAACCAAGAAGGUGCUCAGAGCAAAGGUAACACUGCUAGAUUCUUCAAGUUUAGAAGCUAGACUCUUCGAGGCCAAAAUGUUACGGACAAUGUCCCCGAACUGCUUGGUUGGGGACUGCAUAGAAGUUUGCUAUUUCCACAAUAAAUUGGAUUUUUAAAAAUAAAAAUAAAAAAACCUCUCUCCUUAGAGAUAACAGACUUGGAAGGACAUGAUAAUAGGUUUGGAUAGCUUGCCUACCUAUGGUAUGGAAAAACAAAAAUUCAUAAAGGAUUUCAUAAUCAUAUAAUAAGCAGAGUGUUGUUCAAGCUAUGGGAUAAAUAUAAAGAACUAUUAGAACCUAAAACACCUUGGUGGUUAUCACAUAUUGNNNNNNNNNNNNNNNNNNNNNNNNNNNNNNNNNNNNNNNNNNNNNNNNNNNNNNNNNNNNNNNNNNNNNNNNNNNNNNNNNNNNNNNNNNNNNNNNNNNNGGCAUUAUCAUUUAAAACAUUGAGGGGGAGGGAGAUUAGCUGACAUAUAGAGAAUUGUUAGUAGAACAGGAAAGGAAACUGGAAUUGAAAGAAUAUAAGAAAAUAAAGGACCAUCUACAAAGUUGGUUACAUCAUAGGCAGUUAAAAGAUAUUUUUAAAGAGGAUUAUAAGAAAGGCUUUUCAUACACAGUUUAAAAAUUCCAAAAGGAAGUAAUAGAUGAGAACACAAACUUAUUAAAGAAAAUGUAUAACAUCCUUUAGGAAUGGGAAAUGAAAGAUGAGGAAGUGAAAUCAGUAAUGAUUAAAUGGGCACAAGACAUAGGCCACUACAUACAAUUUGGAGAUUGGACAAAACUUUGGAAAGUAAAUUUGAAAUUCCCAGACUGUAUAUUGUUAAAGGAAAAUUAUAUGAAGAUUAUGUAUAGAUGGUAUAUCUCACCCGUGAAACUAGCCAAAAUAUAUAAAAAUGAACAGAGGAAAUGUUGGAGGUGUAAAGAGGUUGAAAGGACUUUUUAUCAUAUGUGGUGGGAUUGUAAAAAAGGUUAAGGUAUACUGGGAAAUGAUUUAGAAUGAAUUUAAAAAAAAAGUUUAAAAUAGCAUUUGAUAAACAACCAGAAGCCAUCCUGUUGGGUAUUUUAGGGCAAGACCUGCCAAAAGAGAAAAGGACACUAUUUAUGUAUGCAAUGGCAGUGGCGAGAAUACUGCUAGCACAGAAUUGGAAGACUGGAGAAAUUCCAACAAAAGAACAAUGGCAAGAAAAACUGAUGAGUUAUGAGGAGAUGGUGACGCUGACACACAGACUUUGGGAAAAGGACAAGAGGGAUUUUGAAAAAGAGUGGGGACCUUUUAUAUUAUAUUUGCAGAAACAAAGGAAGAACACUGAUCUGAUGGUAGGAUUUAAAUAAGCAUUCACAAUUUUAUGGAUAGGGAAUAGGUAAUGUAAUAAAAGGAAAAUGUAUGGUAUAACAAGGUUCUGAUCUGGCUGCAAGUGUCUCUCUCAGUGCUGGAAGUAACACAGUUCAACCGGGGCAGGUGGCAAAGGGACUCAGGAGCAGCAGCAGUUUCACCAGUGAUACACUGCCAAGUGAAACCACCACCUGGGAGCAACAUGGGUGGAGGAGAUGUUGACAUCGUGUGAUGUCUCUGAGCGUGAGACAGGAAGUCUCAGCCAGUUCUCAGUGUAACCGGAGAGUUACUGAGUGUUGCUUUCGCUUCUGAGUCGAAGCUGGAGUCGAGUCGGAGACUCUUGUGUUCUGCUGCUCAGGAGAGCAGACAUGUUUGUACAGUCUUAAUAAAGUAGCAGUAGACUACAGACUGUCUCUUCUGUGAUGGAUUGGCAGAAGAUUGCGAGUGUGCUCCUCUCAGGAGGGAGGUGUUGCUUAUUGCUGGUCUCUCUGGUCUGAGGGUGGAUUCCAGCCAGAGAGUGACCAUCAGAGAAAGGCCCCAGAGUGCCUGGGAUGUUGGCAACCCUCCCCGGCAGGUGUUUUUCCAAAAGAAGCAGCAGCAUCAAGUGGCCCUGCUCCUCUUUGCGCUGGGAUGCAAGGCCCCAAACUUUGCAGAAAAGCCCUGAGGUUGUGUGAUGAUGACACACAUUGUGAAAAGGAGAACCGCUAGGUCCUGAAUGGCCAUUCCCUUGCCCACACAUAAUCGGCCAAGUGGAGAACCAAUCAGGACUUUUAAUAAUAAUAAUAAUAAUUGGAGAAAAGUUUGGGCCAAAAAAAGCUCUGCUCUUGCAAGUAUAGAGCAAUUGUUUUGUUCAGAGAGACAGAGGCAGGGGAAGAACAUUAGAUCCAGAAUCAUUGAGUCCUUUGAGUGUUAGCAGAUGUAGCAGAAUAAACUGGAUCAGGUCAAGGGUUGUAACGUUGGGUGAAAAACAAAAGAGGACAAAGAGGAGAUACAAUGUGCAGGACUCACAUCUUUUCUUCUCUCAAUUUUUCUUCUAUGCUUGCUCUAUUUUAGGGAGAAGCCUAGGAACUGAACAACAAAAAGAAAACUGAGUUGUAUGAAAUAAUUAAAAAAAAACUGUUACAUUACUGCCUGACCACUCUUUCAGAACCUGCUGCACACCCUCAUUCAUUCCUAGCCUGCUCUUAUUGCAUUGGAAGAUAGUCCCACCCACCUGGAUGAAUGUGCAGUAGGCUGUACUGCUUCUCUUGUCACCAAUCAAACCAAGUUUCCAGGUAAACUAACUCACUAAAGUCCCAAAAAAACCUCAAUGAGAAAAAAUCCCGAGGGGUGUGGCCUAUGUGGGGGAUUCAGUUAUAUUGCAGAGAACUGCACAUAUAUGACUUUUGACUUGAUAGACAGAUCUUGUGGGUUUAUAUGUUGUUCAAUGGGCUCCUCACUCUCACAAUUCUGAGUUUUGCACAGAAUUCCAGCUGAGUCAAACAUCUUUGUGAUAUUUUCCUAGAGGAAACUUGUGCUCCAGAAGAGGUGACAAGGAUUCCAAACGCCGUCAUUCAACAUGGAAAUAAAUAUCAAUGGAACUUUGCAAUCUGCUGCAGUUUCUGUGACAUAUAAAGAGUAUAAUGACACUUACAAUAGCUCAUCUAAUGACCAAGGAGAUUCCCAUUAUAACCCAUUUGUAGUAUUUAUACUAAAUGUCUUCAUUUUAGUUACCUGCUGUGUGGGAUUUUUGGGGAAUGGAACUGUCAUCUGGCUUCUUGUUUUCCACAUUAGGAGGAAACCAUUCACCACCUACAUCCUUAAUUUGGCUAUUGCUGACUUUGCAUUCCUCCUGAGCUUAGAGAUCUAUGCUUUUACUCACUUUCCUGUUUAUGUUCUUCAUAGUAUUGUUGUAUGUCUCUUAUCCUUCACAUACAACACUGGCCAACUUCUUCUGACAGCCAUCAGCAUUGACAGAUGUUUGUCUGUCCUCUUCCCUAUUUGGCAUCGGUGUGUCCGGCCGACCCAUUUGUCCACCACUGUGUGUGCCCUCAUAUGGGUCCUCUCCUGUCUGCUCUGCCUAAUGCUCUACAUUCUUGAAAACUAUUACACCUUUCCAUAUUGGUUAUCAGAAACAGGCCAAUAUGUCUUGACUGGACUGCUUUGCCUCCCACUUAUGACAAUUUCAACUGUGAUCCUUUUAAUCAAAGUCUGUUUUAAAUCACACCCACGAAAGUGGGGAAGGCUUUUAACGGUUAUUUUACUUACACUCCUCUUCUUCCUCGUGCUUGCUUUCCCACUCAAUGCCCUUCUUCUUGCUGCAUCCAUCGUGGGCUUGAAUAUUCCUGGUCUAUUCCAUUAUGCCUUUUUGUGUGCCUCCCUCAACAGCUGCGUGAAUCCCUUCCUCUAUUUUCUGGUUGGGAGGAAGAAGGGAGGUCAAUCUAGGGAGAGCCUACUGGCCAUCCUCCAGCGGGUUUUAAAUGAGGAGGAGAAUGACAGACAGGAAAUGGACCCUCCUUGUUCGAACCCACUUAGGAACCUUUCCUAAGAGUUCUUUGGUCUGGCUGUAAUAUGUCCUUGGACUGCAUUGAUGACUAUUGCUCACCAGAAAAAGGAGGGCUGGUUUUGUUGAAAAUUUUGAGGUUUGUAUAGCUGAAAUGUAUCCUACUUUACAAAGGGAGGAGUCAUGUUUUUUGUUAUCUCAAUUUUUCUUCUGUGCCCCACCCACCUAUUGUAUGCAGUUUGUUUUUUGUUGUAUUACAAAAUUUCUUAAUAAAAUUUCAGUUUUAAAAAGAACACAUGGUAUUUGCAUAUAUCUUGGGUGUCUGCCUUACCCAAUCUCCUGUUAAGGAGGACAGCUGGCUUAAGUUAAGGUGGGCUUCAGUGACAUGUAGCUAGAAAAUAACUGUCACUCUCAUUGCCCGUUCAUCUGUAGAAAGAAAUAAUAAUAAUAAUAAUAAUAAUAAUAAUAAUAAUAAUAAUUUAUUAUUUAUACACUGCCCAUCUGGCUGGUUUUCCCCAGCCACGGUGGUGGGCUUCCAACAGAACACUAAAAUACAAUAACCUAUUAAACAUUAAAAGCUUCCCUAAACAGGGCUGCCUUCAGAUGUCUUCUAAAAUUUGGUAGUUGUUUUUCUCUUUGACAUCUGGUGGGAGGGCGUUCCACAGGGCAGGUGCCACUACUGAGAAGGCCCUCUGCCUGGUUCCCUGUAACUUGGCUUCGCGCAGCAAGAGAACUGCCAAAAGGCCCUCGGCGCUGGACCUCAGUGUCCGGGCAGAACGAUGGAGGUGGAGACGCUCCUUCGGGUAUACAGGACCGAGGCCAUUUAGGGCUUUAAAGGUCAGCACCAACACUUUGAAUUGUGCUCAGAAAUGUCCUGGGAGCCAGUGUAGGUCUUUCAAGACCGGUGCUAUAUGGUCUCGGAGGCUGCUCCCAGUCACCAGUCUACAGGAGUCUUCUUAUAAUUUUUAUUAAAUUUUCUGUUUUACAAUUAAAAAAAACCUCAUUUUAACAACCUUAAGAACUGACAGCUCUUGCAUCCCACUCACCUUCUCACCUAUGAUUUUACACAGGGAAGAAACAGCAAGACAUUUCGGAAAAUCUUAUUUUCCCUUCUGUGCUCACCCCCUCCCUACAAAAUGUGUAUAUUGGGCAAAUGUUUUUUGCCGUUAAAGGGCAAGGAUGGUUUUAUCUGUUAUCAUGAAAGGUCCUGAGAUGUUUUAUUUGGCCGUUACAGAUAAAGAAGCACAUGAGACGUGUGUUCAGUUUCCCCUUCAGUACUCAUUAUGGGACAUAGGUCUUUAAAUGACCAGAGUCUCCUCCUCCUAGGCCAGAUGGCAUUUAUCCUCACAACCACAAAAAGAACAUGAUCUCGCUACAUGAAGCGGGGAAACAGAUUAAACCAAGACAAAGAAUGGGUGGGAUCGGAAUGAGAUUGGUAAGAUUUUCCAUUUUUCUUUCCCGUUUCCUUGCUAAGACCUUAAUACCUACCAUUCUGUUGCAGGAUACUUUGGCUCUGUUGUCUUCUGAUCACCAUAUCUGAAGACUCCCAAUCCAUACUUUGUCAGCAAGUUGUAAAAUAAGUACCCUCUGGGUGGUUGGGUGAAGCUUAGUGACAGAGCAAAUUAGAAGCAUGCAUGGGAAAAGACGGAGGAAGAAAUGGCCAAGUAGCUCAGUGAUUUGCAUAUGGAAUGUCUCCAUUUUAGUCUCCAGCUGGGAUCAGAGACAACCUUCUUUGAAAUCCCUAGGAGUGUCUGGUAGUCAAUGUGACCAAUACUGAACUAGAUGGACCAAUGAUCAGACUCAGUUUAAGGCAGAUUCUUUGGGGAGAAAGAGAACAUGGGAUCCAGAGUCAAUAAGUACAUUGUGUGUUUUUGCAGGUAUUGUAUAAUACAUCAUAAAAUCACAGAAUUGUAGAGUUGGAAAGGAACAUGAGGAUCGUCUACUCCAAGCCCCUGCAAUGCAGGAAUCUUUCAAACAAAGUGGGGCUCCAACUCACAACCCUGAGAUUAAGAGUCUCUUGCUCAGCCACUCAUGCUCUAGGUGGGAGCAUGAUACUGAAUAACUAUUAUUAUCUUCCCUGACUGGUAGUGGAUCUCAAUGGUUCAGGGAGGACAUUCCCAUAUCUACCUGGAAAUGCUAGGGGUCAGUUUUUGUACCUUCUGAAUACAAAGCAGACAUGUUCUCCAUGAGCUUCAGACCUUCUCAUAUGGGUGGAAGAGAAAGAGGUAAAGCAGAUGUGGGUGGAUGGGGUGGAAAUCAAUAUGGUAUCUCAAAAAGGGUGGACAUGAAUAAAGGGGGACUAAAUAAUGAAUACCUUGUAAAGCGAUGAUGAUAUAUUUAAGGCGGCAAAUGGAAAUGAAUUGGUUAGGUUCAGCCAUACCUACUUUGACAUUUGUCUCCCAGAGGACUGGUGAUGGGUCAUUGUGUCUACUGGCAAUCAAAAUGUUCCACCAAUCUUAUUCUUAUAGGUUAUUGGAGGGAAAUGCCCCUAUACAGCAUCUAUGCUGGAAGGAUAUUGAAAGGGAUCUGCUAGAGUGUCUACUGGUGGGAGUGGAUUUUGAUCGAAGUAAGACAGCAUGGACUACAAAGACCUUUUCUGAUUCCUUUGCAAUAGCACCGCCUUCAAGUCUCUGAGCAAAGCCAAACUGAGAAGAACACAUCAUUCUGGGUCAUGUAUGGAAUUCCACUUGAACUGUUCCACUUGAAAUGUUCUCUGUAACAUUUUAUUUCUCUUAGCGGGCACUCAUACUCUAGAAGAAGAGAUAAGGAUCCCACAAGGAGCAAGUGAGCAUGAUGGUAAAUAGCAGCUGGACUUCCAGUUCCGAUAUGGAGGCUUCCACAGGUUCUGAGCAUGAUAAUAGCUCAUAUACUGGCCAAGAAAAUGACUGUUAUAAUCCAUUGAAAGAAGCUAUUUUCUAUAUGUUCAGUUUGGUUAUCUGUUGUGCUGGAUUUUUGGGAAAUGGAACCACCAUCUGGCUUCUUAGCUUCUGCACUAAGAAGAACCAGUUCACCACCUACAUACUGAACUUGGCUGUUGCUGACUUUGCCUUCCUCAUGACUGUAGAGAUAUAUCAUUGUAUUGCUUUGACUCGUCUAGGCAAAGAUGCUUCUUUAAUAACUCUUCAUCUCUUAAUGUUCACGUACAACACUGAUCUACUUCUCCUAACAGCCAUCAGCAUUGACAGAUGUGUGUCUGUGCUCUUUCCUAUUUGGCAUCGGUGCCACAGGCCGACACAUCUGUCCACCACUGUGUGUUCCCUCAUAUGGGUCCUCUGCUUUCUGUUCACCAUAAUUCUCUACAUUCUCCAGUUAUUUAGCAUAUUUAGCUAUUACUUCACAGCAAGCUUCCAAUUACUCUUGUCUGCCCUGCUUUGCCUUGCACUGAUGAUAAUUUCAACGGUGAUCUUAUUCAUCAAAGUCUGCUUUAAAUCACGCCAGCGAAAGCGGGGAAGGCUUUUAAUGGUUAUUUUACUUACUCUUCUCUUCUUCCUCGUACUUGCUUUUCCACUUGAUGCCCUUAUUGCCCUUAAUCAUUUUCUAGCUUUUGACAUUCCUGAUCUACACCAUUAUGCCUUUCUGUGUGCCACCCUAAACAGCAGUGCUAACCCCUUGAUCUAUUUUCUGGUUGGGAGGAAGAAGCAAGGUCGAUCCAAGGAGAGCCUGCAGGUCAUUCUCCAGAGGGCUUUGAAUGUGGAGGAAGACAACGGACAGAAAAUGGACCGUCCCAUUUCAAAUCCGCUUACGAUCCUUACAUAAUAAUGCUGUUGUCUGACUGUAAUAUUUCUUUAUGCUGCGAUGAUAUAGCUUGCUUAUCUCAAUACAGGAUGAAAAGAGGUGCAUGCAGAAAUCACUAACUUUUUCAUGGAUGAAAUGUAGACUCCUCUGCAAAGUCACAUUGGUUGCUCUGCCAAAGAUUUGCAUGACUAUUAUGAAUUUUUAAAUUUUUUUUAUUCUUGUGGUGCUUGUUGCCAGAUAUAUAUUGUGAGCGGAAUAUUUCUCUCUCAUCUGUGCAGAAAUAAACAAGAAAAAUAAGUUUUCAAGCUUUCCUUGCUGAAACUUGGUUCCAAUGUUACAAAAACAAUAUGUCUUUUGCAAUUGUUCCAGUCUUACAAACUCUAUCUACACUGGCCCUAGUGUGAUUAUUCUAAACAUAUUUACAGAAGAAAAUAUAGCUACCCAGCUAGAAACCAAAAUAUUCUCUCCCUCUUGUUCACCUCUGUGCUUCAGCCGAUGCCCAGGGAGAGACACUACCUGUGUGUUGUUUCUGUUCAUCUUUGCUCUGAGGAAAACCCUAUUAGAACAUGCAAACUUUGGUAUAAUACUCAAGUUACAGCCCUAACACUUAUGAUCUAAGUCACAACACCUAGAUUGCCUCACCCUUGUGUGGAAAUACAUCAAAGAAAAAUAUAUUAUUAUUUUUACAACUCAAACAUAAUGUGCUUUUAAAUACUGCAUUUUAUGUAACACUAAACAUAAUUCCAGCAGCUGAACUCUACUAUAUGAAGUGUUUGUUCCAAGAGAAGCAUGGUACUGAAUUAUUAGAUUCUAUUCCAGCUAGUAAGGGUGCUAGGUUGUGGAAAUUAAAUGUUAGAGAACACAAAGACUUUCAUGGCUAGAAUCUCCUCUUAAACUCAUUGAUGGUUAUCUUGACAGCCAGUAAAAGGAUGUCUUCUUGUCAGAUGUUGUUGGCCAACUGAUUAAGCCAAGACAUAAAGCAUAACGUACAUAUUUCAGCUCUUUUCAUAAGAUAUCAGGAGUAAUAAGUGCAAAUGCUUCUCUAUAAAUCUUGCCAUCAUCUGCCAUUCCAACUAGGGAUACAGUGGUACCUCAAGUUACAAACGCCUCAGGUUACAAAUAUUAACUCCGCUAACCUGGAAGAGUUACCUUGAGUUGAGAACUUUGCCCCAGCAUGAGAACAGAAAUCGUGUGCCGGCGGCGCAGCGGCAGCAAGAGGCCCCAUUAGCGAAAGCAUGCUUCUAGCUAAGAAUAAUUUCAGGUUAAGAACGGACCUCCGGAAAAUAUUAAGUUCAUAACUAGAGGUACCACUGUAUUAGAAAUUCACUUUUAUUUAUUUUUUUGGAAGAUUGCUGGUCUGUACUGCUGAGUAGAACUUGCAUACAGGUGUGUAAGAAACUCCAAAUGUUACAGCUUGAAGAAUGUGUGAUUUUACAGUGGCAAAUUGUAUGGGAUGUUGUAUGGGAUGUUGGGGGCGGGGUAGUAUCUCUGUUGGGGGACAAGUCAUGCUCCUUUUGUGGUAGUUUGGCAACCUUUGGUCCCCACCCUGCAGUCAGCUCUCACCUGUGGCACCUAGAAGCUGCCAGCAAGUGAAAACAGUCACACCCUGGGAAAUGGCUUCAACUGGCUGGCUAAACCAGGUGAGGGUAGCCAAUGGGUCUCAAACCCUCAGUGAAUUGGGACUUCCUUUGCCCUGAAAAAACAGGCUCUAGCAGAUUGAGUGCACAAAACCAACAGUAGGUCCAAUGGUCAAAAAUGUGGUUUCUGCACAUCCUGCUCAGGGAACUGGUUGAGGGGUUGUAGAACAGAAAGUGCGGUCUACUAGGGAGUUUGGAGAAAUAACUGCUGGCAAGUUCUGCCUAGGAGGUUAACGGCAAAGGGGAGGUAUAUAGGGCCAUUAUCUCAGUGUUUGGGUUAAAAGGACAGAGGCACAUGUUAGGACAGGCGGCCCCUGGAUCUUAGAAAGAAACUGUAUGGCUGAAACCCUGAUAUUACAUGGAGCAUUUAGAUAUGUUACCAAAGUAUGAACUCAAUACCAUAAGAGGCUUAUCCGUUCUUUCUGAUAGAGAAGAAACAGACCAGGAUUAUGAAGGCACUUGACACCCUUAGGGUAGGUUAUAGGCAGUGCAGAAGCACCACAGAGAACAGGUGGGGGCAUGUCUGGUGUGCGUCCCAGGGGUGUGGUGCGCUGCCCACAUGGCGCCCAGUGCGGGGGCUGAGCGGUGCACAUCAAGGUGGCAUGCGGUUCAUGUCAGGGGUGGCGGCCAUGAUGGCACCCCACCUGGGAUGGUACCCAGAGCAAACCACUCCCCUGCUCCCACCUUCCUCCCCCAGUGGUUGUAGGUAACAGAAAAUCAGGGAUGAUGGGAGCUGGAAUCUGAUAUCUGAAGGGUCAAAAGUUAGAUACCCUUGUACUAGAGGUUGAACAUUGUGUCCUUGCAGGAACUGAAUCCACAUCUGCCUUGUUUCUUAUAGCAAGAUUGUCUCAACAUCAAGGGAAGGAAACCUUUUCUGGCUGGCAGGCCAGAUGCUUCUCUACCACCAAUGGCAGAUCACAUUUGGCGAGUGGGCAGGGCCUUUUGCAAACAUCCCUGUCCUGCACUUUGAACCUCAAAUUUUCAGAGGUACAAGGAGCAGUUCUUGGAAUGGGAAGCAGGUUCCAUUCAACUGAAACAGCUUCUCUCUUCUAGAGCAAGUUGUGCUCCUUCUGACAAUCAGCUGAUAGGUGAUAAGAGUGCACCUCUAGAUUCAUCAAUCCCUUACUCAUUACUCUUCUCUUUGAUGCACUUGCAAAUAUGCAAAACGUUUCCUGACAUUCCACCCUCACCAUAUUCUGUUUUCUCUCGAAAUGCCUCAGAUUCCUUCACCAAGGAGGAAUCUCUCGAUCUGCUUAGAAUUUCCCUUUUCCUUCACCUUCCUUCUAUUACACCUGAAGUCGGCUGGAUACAAACUUUCAAAAAAACAGCAACAACAAUUUGAGUUGUAUUUGUAGAAAUUUGCCAAAAUCACUGAAAUUUGCCAAAAUCACUGAAAAGUGGAGAGAGGCUUUAAACUGCUGCAUUUAUUUAUUUAUAUAUAUAUAUAUAUUUAUUUAUUUAUUUACCAAAACACAUUGUCUUUCCACACAUUGCUAGUUAGCAUAUUUGCUAAAGAAAUAGUCAGGAAAAUGUUCUUCUCAGAGUAUGAGGAACAACCUAGAAGUCCUCAGAGCUCCCACUUAAAGCUUCGCAUAAGUGAUUUAUCAUGCCUUGGAAGCACGCACAAUUUUCUCAGGUCCAAAAUGCAAAUUUCUCUUGAGACCUACAUUUCAGGAGACAAUUUGCCCCACGCUUAGAAGGUUGCCAAAUCAUCCAGGAAGAGUGAAAGAACUCUGCCCAUUGCUAAUGGAGCAUCCACUAAUGCUCUGGUUGGUAAUUGCACUAUGAUGUGUGUUCUUUGCUCCACCCUGGCUGAACCAGAUGCCAUGCUGACUUUCUUCAGAGACGUGCUCUAUGCUGAUUGAGGGGAAAGCAUUUUGAAGCCAGAGGACAUCUUGGAGACUGGGACUAUGAAAUUGUGGAGUGCAUUUCAGACCUGUUUUCUCCUUGUUUUGAAAAGUUUGUAUAAGUAGAAGGUAGGAAAUUAAAUAUUUUACUGGGAUGUCUUCUCUGCUGUGGUGCCAUAUCUCUCUCCCUCCUCCUCCUCCUCCUCCUCCUCCUCCUCCUCCUCCUCUUCUUCUUCUUCUUCUUCUUCUUCUUCUUCUUCCACUGCUCCUUCAGUAUAGGCUAACCAAUGUGCUGCCCUCCAGAUGUUAUGGACCUCAAUUCACAUCAGCUCCAGCCAGCAUCACCAAUUGUCAGGGAUUAUGGGAGUUGUCGUCAAGCAGCAACUUGAGGGUAUAUUGUUGACUACUCCUGGCAUAAAUCCUGAGGGGCCUUUAGCUUGAAAUCAUCUUAACCGUAAUGAAGCUCAGCUAUUUCCAAAGUUAUAUGUUCGAUGUUAUUGCUUACUGUUUUGUUGUUUGUUACUCUAGUCUCUCCUCUUCCAUUCCUUUUCUUCUGCUACCCACUUUUAACAGUUACACUGUGUGUUCCUUGGAACAGGAAAUGGUCUAUUUUUCUUGUGCUACUCUAUAAAGCUCCAUAGGCAGAUAACCUGUGGCACUUCAGUUGGAGAACGCCCAUCAUCACUGACUGCUGACCAACAACAUCUGUAGGGCCACCAGUUCCCCACCCAUGAUGUACUGUGAUGCCCAUCACAAUGCUAGCACUAUCCAGAGGCAUUGGGAGGGGAUAUAUAGCAAUGGUCACCUGCACAGGCAGACAGACUCUGGGGUUUAAAAUUAUAGACAGUUUGGAAAGGGAAAUAAAGAGCUGGUUGCGACUCCUGUGCCACUCCUGAUGGCACAGACAAACAGCCAUCAGGAGUGGGAAGUAACAUUUUUCAGGAGUAAAGGUAAAGGUAAAGGUACUCCUGACCAUUAGGUCCAGUUGCGGACGACUCUGGGGAUGCACGCUCAUCUCGCUCUAUAGGCUGAGGGAGCCGGUGUUUGUCCGCAAACAGCUUCCAGGUCAUGUGGCCAUUGUGAUUAAGCCGCUUCUGGUGAACCAGAGCAGCACACGGAAACGCCGUUUACCUUCCUGCCAGAGCGGUACCUAUUUAUCUACUUGCACUUGACGUGCUUUUGAACUGCUAGGUGGGCAGGAGCUGGGACUGAAAAACGGGAGCUCACCCCGCUGUGGGGAUUCAAACUUCCGACCUUCCGAUCGGCAAGCCCUAAAAGAGAAAUGAAAAAUCUGCACACUCCACCUCUAAAGUAAGCACUGAACUGAUGACCCCCAAAGGCACCCAGUGCUGCUCAGCGAUUCUAAGGAACAAACAAAAAUACUGAGAUUGCAAGUGGUGAGCAGAAUGUUCAAUGUUCCUCAGUUUGACUAUGCACAUGUGUUCUCUUGCUGCGAACAGGCACACACAGCCAAAGUGCAGUAUAGGGCCUUUUGAAAGCCCUCUUUCAAGCAGCGCAGCACUGCUGGGUAUAGGGAAAUGCUUUUCUAGCUUGUCCUUCAUAGGGUAUGUUCGGGCAAGGCAACAUUGAACAACUCCUGCUCUCUGCAGCAUGGUUGGAGGGGGAAGGAAAUGCAGUGAGCAUAUAGGGUUAAAAACACACACAAUCAAACAUUUCAUCUUAAGUAAAAUGCAUUAAUAAUGCAUUUUUCAGAUGGUCUCAGUGCAUGAGGUCACUUAUACCAGCCUGGACAUUUUAGCCACAUCAUUGCUUAUUAAGCACCAUGCCAGGAAAUUAAUAAUUCUCUCUCUUCUUUUACCUUAGAACCAGUACUUGUCUCAGAAGUGGGGAAAACAACUGAAGCAGAUAUUGAACAUGGUAACCAGUAUCAGCCAUGUGCUUAUGUUCCCAAUGGAUGUGGAACUGGGUUAUUACGGAAUAUAUACCACUGCAAUUCCAGCCAAGAACCCCUCUGAUAAUAGGACAGAGGGGAUCUUCUACGACAAUUUAGGAAGGAUUGUUUUUUCUGUCUUCAUCUUUUUAAUCUGCAUUUUUGGACUUCUGGGCAAUGGAACUGUCUUUUGGUUCCUUAGCUUCCGCAUUGCAAAGAAUCCUUUCAGCACCUACAUCCUGAACGUGGCUGCUGCUGACUUUGGGGUCCUGGUAUGCCUUAUCACAUUUCUUGCUGUAGGAUUUUUAAAUGAAGGCACCUUCAUUCUUUCAGUAGGUAUUUUCCCAAUAGCUCUAGAGCUUUUCCUGUUGAUGUACAGUGUCAGUCAGCUUCUAAUGAUGGCCGUCAGCAUUGACGGGUGUGUGUCAGUCUAUUACCCAACUUGGCAUCAUUGUCACCGCCCCCUACAGUGGUCCACUGGUGUGUGUGGUGUAAUAUGGAUCUUCUCCUUCCUGAUUUGUGCAAUUGUCCUUACUCUCCAUACUGAAUUUUAUCCCCAAAUGUACUACCAGUUUAUUGUGAGUGUCUUGGUUUGCACCCCGGUCACGAUUAUCUCUGCUCUCAGCCUCUUCAACAAAGUCUACCUGAAAUCACAGCAGCAAGAGCCACGAAAACUUUUGACAGCCAUCUUAUUUAUCCUCCUUUUCUCUCUCUUCUUUGAUUUGCCACUGAAUGCCUUAUACAUCACGUAUUUCCCUGUUCCACAUGCCCAUCAUAUGUUGUUGCGUUUAUUUUCUGCCUCCAUCUACAGCAGUGUUAAGCCACUGAUUUAUUUCCAGGUUGGGAAACAGAAGGUAGAUCUAUGUAGAGACAGCAUAAAGGUCAUUCUCCAAAAUGUUUUUAAGGAAGAAGAGGUCUGUAGAGAGGAACUGGAACUUCCAGUUCAAGAACAGUUGUGAUACUUCCAUAAGCAUGGAAAGCUCCUGGCAGGCUAACAGAUAAUGAGUGACGUCUUCUCCCUAAGUUUGACCACAAAUACAAAGUAGGUGCGCAUAUGGGACUUUGUUAUAAUUGCCAUCUAAGACUACAGUGGGCAUCACUUAGAAACAAUAAUAAAGGCAUUUCUUAAGAAAGUUAGUGAGAGUUCUCAGUUCUGUUUGAUGCAAUGAGCAUAGAGAUAUUGACCAAAAUCCAGAUCCACCUCACAAAUAAAGUCAAGUAAAAGUUUAGUAAAAAAGAACUGACAAAAAAUUGUAAGUAUUCAAAAGUAUGAUACAGAAUAGUGAAUGGCAUGAAAAGGAUUGCAGUAUAAUAGAUGAGCAUUUACAACUGAGCUACUAGGAAGAGUGAAGAAAGAAACAUAAGACCAUUUGCAUCUAUUGCUUCAAUUAAAACAAAAAAAUCAUAGAUGAAACCUGACAUAGAAGAAAGCAACUGUCUUUCUAAUACCUUCUCUGCAGUUCGUACAUGUAUCUUCUGAUCAAAAGCAUGAAGACUGUUUUACUACAUUGUAAAGUCAUCUAUGCAAUAUGUUAAACGACAGAGGAAAAGUUACAUAAAAUUUUAAAGAGAAUGCAUGAUAUGUAUAAUGUUUAUUUUCUCCUAAUAUUGAGAUAGAUUUAAUGGAUUUGAGGAAUAAUGAGAGCAGCUAAUUGCAAAUUUAAAAUAUUGACCAUAUAAAGGUGCAGAAGAAAAAUAACCAAGAAAAUGGUAGUUCCCUGACAAAGCAACCAAUCAUGGAAAAAACAACCCAAAAUCUUCCUUCCUCCCAUUGCUUCCAUGGAAUGUUCAAAAAGCUCCUUAUCUACCAAAUUUCUUGUUAGGUCUGCUGUUCCAGCUGGGAGAGUUAUGUGUGUGAUUGAUGUUAUAUGACGGGUAUUAAGAAAAUUUUAAAAUAAAGGAAAAGAACUGAAUGAAAAGUCUAGCCCCUAUGAAGUCCUGGGAGAAUACUAGCUGUUGCUAGACUAUGGAUGGAUGUGUAUACAGUACAAUACAGUUGUUCAUAUUAUUUGUAUUGUCCACACGAUGUUGUCCCCACCCAAGUGGCAGACUACGCUUGCUUCAAUUUAAUUCUGAUUUUUCCAAUGCAUGCUACCCAGCUGUGGAUGCACUGAAGUCCAUAGUGUGGGUAGGUGUUGUUGUUGUUUUUAAUAAUGUUUAUUAAAUAUUUCUUAGUUUACAAAAAUGUGUGCAUUGUCUCUUUUUUCAACUGGUGUUUUCUACAGAUCGGUUACAUUUGUUUUGAGACAUUAGUGUUGCAUGCAGUAUUAGGUUGGGAAGAAAAGAGGGGUGAUGUGGCAAUACUUAUAUUUUUCUACUUAGUGUAUGUGUGUGUGGAGUUUUGUGUCAGCAUCACUUGUGUGGGUUCUCGUUCUAUUCAAUUGUUAUAUUUCCUUGGUGGUGAGCAGGGAUGGACCGCCCCAGGUGUCACUACUGAGGGGAGUGACAAAAUGGCGGCCAUUACUCACUGUGGGGCCUGCAGCACACCUGAGCCACGUGUCUCUCCUGGGAGUGACAUGGGCACCCACAGGCUCCAUGCUCUCCCAAAUGGUCCACCUGCCGCCUCCCCCUCACCUAUAGGGUGACUGAGUGCUUGGAGACUCCUCGGAGGCCAAGCAGAGUAUCCUGCCACUGGGCACAGGGCACGUGUACCGCCCCAGGCACCCGAUCGGCUUGCUCCACCACUGGUGGUGAGAGAGGUUGGGGUGGCCUAGGGUGUGGCCGAUUGCCUUUGAAUGGCUGUACUGAGAUUCCCCCCCCCCCCAGUGUGUUUGGUCAUGAUUUCCACCACCUUCUGCUUCCAUAGGUGAGGCACUCUUCUGGUUGGGCACAACACACUUUAAAACAAAACAUGCUACUUCUUCAAAUCUGGUAUAUUGGAAAAAUGUGUAUUACAAAAAAAGUAAAAGAAGAGCUAAUUAUCAACCCAUCUAGACACUCAGAGAGCUUACUAUAUCCCCAUGGAAAAUCCCCAUGUUAAAGCCUUCCGCAACACACACAGACAUUCUUCUUUUCAGUGUGAAUUAAACGAUUAUAUUUAACUCUCUGUUAAACUGGACACUUGGACUGUCUUCUUUUUCUCAUUUAAAUUUGGAUUAUUGAAGCAUCUGUGGUGAAAAACAGCACAACACUUCUUAAAGCUACAGAACCACCGUCCCCUGUCUUCCUCCUCUUCCUCUGCAAGCCUGGCAGCAAUGAGUGUGUGUGGCAACGAAGAUGUGUGGCAAUAGACAGGUGGAUGGUGGGCAUGGAGUGGAGGAGUAGUUUGUUGAAGAGUGCAGGAGGCAGAAAGUGGCAUGCUCCGUGGAAGCCAGAUCUGCUGCCUCUCAUGGCUGACCAAAGCCUACCUCCCUGUGAGGCUACUGCCAUACCUCACCUCACCUCAUGGGUGGGGUGGACCUGUUCAAGAGGAUUGAGUCAUCACCCCUGCACCCUCCUAGCUAUGGAGCAACCCUGUAGACUGUAAGGCAAAAGCUGGUUGUUCUAAUAUAUUUGAGUAACGAGCAUACAAUGAUCUCUUUCAGCUUUUGCCUUCUGGAAGAAGGUAUAGGGUUAUAAAGGCCAGGACUAGCUGCCUGAGAAACAGUUUCUAUGCUAAUGCAAUUCUGGUUCUAAACGCAGCAUAAGGGGUCUCUGUAGUAUAUUGUAUUUUAAAAUGGGGUUUUAGAGUUUUUAGGGUUUUUUGAAUGUUUUAUGUAGUUUUUAUGUAGUUUUAUGUAGUUUUUAUGUAGUUUUAUGUAGUUUUUAUGUAGUUUUAUGUAGUUUUUCAAUUUCAUUGUUCCGCAAGGGACAAUGACAAUAAAGAUAUCGUAAUCGUAAUCGUAAUACAACUAUCAGAUUCACUGGAGCUACGAUGUCUAAGCAAGAAACAUGUUGAUUUUAUAGAAACAUUACGUCUUGGAAACAAAAUAUUUCCUAUGCAGGAGGAGAGAGAGCGUCACAAAUCAGGAGAAUUACCCUUUUAAAAUACCGUGACAGAGUAUGCCCUUCCUUCUUCCAAUCCAAACAUUUGCAACUGGAUCAUGGCUGCAAUCUCUUUUCUGAAUGAAAAAGACUUUAUCCAGCUUUGAGCUCCCCAACCUGGACAGAGAAUGUUUCAGACAUAUUUCAGACAUCAAGGGUGGGGCACAGACACCACCUCAGGACAACAUUUACCAUUCCAUUGAGUGGCACCCCAUUACCCAUGAGUAAGUUUGUUGGUAUUCUAGAAUGGUGCUUCAGUAUCCCCUUAAGUGCUGAAGAACUUUCCUCUCAUACAUUAUCAGGAGAAAUUUUGCCCUUAUUAAAUGCAAUAGCCUCCAAGCUACUGUCUCGCAAUAAUAUACGUCUUGAAAUCUGAGCUCUGAAGCACAGGGUUUUGUUUUCGCCUUUCAAUGCACAUUCAUUAGGGCUGUGCACUGGAUUUGGCUGAAGCCGAAAUCCUGAACUGUACCAGGGUAAAUUGGGAGGAACCAGGUUGGGCUGCCCAGAACAACCUGGGGCUGUCAAGGAGUGGGAGAGAAGAGGCAAAGUAUCUCAAUAAAGUCUACUGUAUUUGAUUAGCAGCCUUAAAAUAAAAGGAGAGGCUCUCUUUUAUUCAGGAACUGGUUAAGAAAUAGAGCUGAGAGGAAAUAGAGCCGAGAGGAGUGUGUGUGUGUGUGUGUGUGUGUGUGAUGCUUCAAAUAAUCUUUUAUAGAUAUUUGUAACCGUUUUGAGAAAGAGAAGCCUAUCUGUGUAUCUAAUCACAAAAUGAUUGGUCCAGUUGACUUCCUUUUUCUCACCCAAUGCAUAGCUGCUCAUCUGAAUAUUAUAUCUUAGAAUAUGGAGUCUUACACAAGAAUAGUUUCCUCCUCUUAAGUUCACAGAAAAUUAUCUUGAUGACCAAAAAAUAACAUUUUCUUCUUGUGAUAAGAAGCUGGCAACUAAAGCUUCGAUGAAAGGUGGACAGGCUCUUCUACAUCUUGCAGUGAGCUAUAAAAACAAGACAAUUUCUCACCCCUCUUGGACUUGAGGUGUACAAGGAUUUGUUUGCAUGUCCUCCUGGUACCUGUAUUUCCAGCACGCAAUAUUGUUCAGCACUUUCGUGUUGUCAUCAUCCUAUCUGAAGACUGUUGAUCGGUUCCUCCACUCAGGUACGUGAAAAGAGGUGAAAUGCCAUCACUCACCAGCAGCUUGCAUUCAUCAGAUUGAGAAAGCCCCAGGUCAUUUCUCAGUAAUGUGGAUCAGUGAAUUUUAUUAUUUCAGUCACAGACCAGUUCCAGCCCACAUACAAUAUCAAGGAAGUCAUAAAACACGAAAGGGAUACAUUUGAGUUUGCAAUUAGUUUUAACAGGGACAAUACAGAUAUGGCAACAGUUUAAAAAUAUAUAAAUUAAAUCUUAGUCCAGUAAUGUGGAUAUUGCAAGUUUAGCUGCGAAAGGAUGGCUGCAACUUUUGGGUUCUGAGGAGAAAAAUUCAGGACUAAACUGAUGAAAGAUCUGAAUGAGGGAAAGCCAGCUUCAUAUGUGCAUGUAUGAAAUACAGUGGUACCUCGGAUUACAAACGCUUCAAGUUACAGACACUUCUAGGUUACAGACUCCGCUAACCCAGAAAUAGUACCUCAGGUUAAGAAUUUUGCUUCAGGAUGAGAACAGAAAUCGUGCUCCAGUGGUGCAGUGGCAGCAGGAGGCCCCAUUAGCUAAAGUGGUGCCUCAGGUUAAGAACAGUUUCAGGUUAAGAACGGAACUCCGGAACGAAUUACGUUCUUAACCAGAGGUACCACUGUAUAGCUUUGGCUGUAACAAGCAAAUUAUUAUUUCUAGUUGGCGGGGACAUUUUAAGAUGAAGAAGAAGAAGAAGAAGAGUUUGGAUUUGAUAUCCCGCCUUUCACUCCCUUUCAGGAGUCUCAAAGCGGCUAACAUUCUCCUUUCCCUUCCUCCCCCACAACAAACACUCUGUGAGGUGAGUGGGGUGAGAGACUUCAAAGAAGUGUGACUGGCACAAGGUCACCCAGCAGCUGCAUGUGGAGGAGCGGAGACGCGCACCCGGUUCCCCAGAUUACAAGACUACCGCUCUUAACCACUACACCACACUGGCUCAGAUGCAAUCAAAUGUCAAAUAUAUCACCAUAGUCACAAAGCUGACAUUUUAUAUAAACCACCAGUUGAAUUCUUCAAAUAGGUAUAUGAUGACAGAAAGACUGUUUCAUGGAUGGCCAACAGCAGAUGGAAGAGGUCAAUCAUUCAUUGACAUCUAUUCCAUAGUCACAACUUGGGCUUUAUGUGUUUAAAAUGCAUUUUAUGUAUAAUACAAUAUAUGCAAUGAUGGGGCUUUAUCGCCCCAAUCUAAUUUCAUUUUCUGCUAUAUUCUACUGAGUGUAGACCCAUUAAAAUUAAUGAAUCUCUAUUAGGCAUGUCCAUUAAUUUCCGUGUGUCUACUCUGAGUAGGACUAGAAUUAAAUACCACCCUUUGAAUGGUUUUCCCCACUCCUUUCCUAGGGAAAUCCACUCUUUAGUGCUAAAUUGAAGCAAAUGUCAAUCUGGAGAAAAUCCAAAUUACAAUUUGCUCCGACUGAGCACUUAAAUGCUAUUUUCCCUGGGGAAAAGCAGAGGGGCAAGCAAAAGUCCUUAAGGUCAUUUAAAUCUACCAACAGAUUGAGAAGACAGUCUUUAUGAUAAAUCUCUCAUAUUUCCCUGUAUCUAUAUUAAUUCUAUGUAUGCUUCAACAGCCUAGGUUGGAAGGAGCAAAUAUUUUGCAACUCACUUUAAAUAUAUUGGCUUGUGUUGAAGGUCAUGCUAAGUCAGUUGUUCACUCAUCACAGGAGUUUUCUUUUUUCAACGUAUUUUUCUAUUAAAUAUUUCUUGGUUUACAAAACUAUGUGCAAUAUCUCUUUUUUCAAGUUAUGUUUUCUAUAGAUCAGUUUCAUUUGUGUUACAUAAGGAAGAAAAGGGGGAAAGAGGUGGAAGGGGCCAUGGCGAGUGGGGAUGGAGUCGGGUGGCGAUGUUUCUAUUUUACUUAAUCACAAUAUUUUUGUUUGUGUCACAUAUCUUUUCUACCCUCCCCUCCCCUCAUAUGCCCAUAAAUCAGUUAUAGGGUUUCCAUAACACCCAGAAGAAAUUGGUGGAGUAGGGGGACACCCAUGGAUGGAUUUUUUGGGGGGAGGGGAGUCCACUGCACUAGCAGUAAUCCUUGGUUGACUGAUGGUUUAGAUGAACAUUGCCCAAUGAUUCUGUCCACAAUCCACUUUAUCUAUAUUUAAUUUCAAUUAUAUAUACUCAUAACUGAAUCCACCCAUCUCAUUUGUCUUACCAGGUGCGUCUAUUAUAUAGGAAGAGAAAUUAAGGCUUCCCCAAAGAAAACACCGGAGCAUAAUGAGUAGUUUCAACACUGAUCCCAUAUUGUUCUCUUGUAUCAUUGGGCACAUUAGUUUGUUUACCAUUUUUGGACUUGUGGGCAAUGGAAUAGCCAUCAUGGUUCUUCAGUUCCAAAAUGAAAAGAUUCCUUUCAAGACCUACAUGUUGAACUUGGCUGUUGCUGACUUGGUGUCCUCAUGUUGUACUUUGUUUUCUGGAUGCUGUGCAUUGUGGAUAGUAAUACACCAGAUGAUCUUAACUUCCUUGUUUUUUCUGAAGUUUUUAAUGGGCUUAUUGGGUUUAUGUACCUGACUGCUCAACUACUGUUGACAACCAUCAGCGCGGACCUCUGUGGGUCUUUCCUCUUUCCAGUUUUGAAAGGUGUCAAUCAGUCAUCACCCUCAAACACCAAGGGAUGUGCCAUCAUUUGGGUCCUCUCCUUCUUGUUCACUGGGAUUCAAACUGUUUCCGGUGUUACUGAUGACCCUGUAAUUUUUUUCCUAAGACCCAGUUUCAUUGUCAACGCCAUCUCCCUGAAGAUCAUGACUAUCUCGACUCUGACAACUUUCAUCAAAAUUUCAUUGAAAUCACAAUGGCAGGAACUGGCAAAGUUUUUAAAAGUGAUCUUGCUCACUCUUCUCUACUCCCUUUUCUUUAGUUAUCUGUGGACUGUCAUUUUCAACAUUGACGUAUUUGGGCAUCCUUAUUUUAAAUAAUAAUAAUAAUAAUAAUAAUAAUAAUAAUAAUAAUAAUUUAUUAUUUGUACCCGCCCAUCUGGCUGGGUUUCCCCAGCCACUCUGGGCGGCUUCCACAGAGACCAAAAAUACACUAAAAUGUCACACAUUAAAAACUUCCCUGAACAGGGCUGCCUUAAGAUGUCUUCUGAAUGUCAGGUAGUUGUUGUUCUCUUUGACAUCUGGUGGGAGGGGGUUCCACAGGGCGGGUGCCACUACCGAGAAGGCCCUUUGCCUGGUUCCCUGUAACUUUGCUUCUUGAAAUGAGGGAACCGCCAGCGUCCGGGCAGAACGAUGGGGGUGGAGACACUCCUUCAGGUAUACUGGGCCGAGGCCGCUUAGGGCUUUAAAGGUCAACACCAACACUUUGAAUUGUGCUCCGAAACGUACUGGGAGCCAAUGUAGGUCUUUCAGGACCUGUGUUAUGUGGUAUCGGCAGCCGCUUCCAGUCAGCAGUCUAGCUGCCGCAUUCUGGAUUAAUUGUAGUUUCUGGGUCACCUUCAAAGGUAGCCCCACGUAGAGUGCAUUGCAGUAGUCCAAGAGAGAGAGAAUUAGAGCAUGCACCACUCUGGCGAGGCAGUCCGUGGGCAGGGAGGGUCUCAGCCUGCGUACCAGGUGGAGUUGGUAGACAGCUGCCCUGGAUACAGAAUUGACCUGUGCCUCCAUGAACAGCUGUGAGUCCAAAAUGACUCCCAGGCUGCGCACCUGGUUCUUCAGGGGCACAGUUACCCCAUUCAGGACCAGGGAGUCCUCCACACCAGCCAGCCCCCUGUUCCCCAAAAACAGUACUUCUGUCUUGUCAGGAUUGCUUUACUUCCUAGCUGCUACCUGCAACUGCAGUACUAGGCCAUUACUUUAUUACCUAGUUGGGAGACAAAAAAUGGAUUGUUCUUGGGGAAGCAUGAAGGUUGCUCUCCAGAGGGUCUUCCAAGAAGCAGAACCUACAGAUGAAAAUGCAUACAAUGAGAAUCAUGCAUUUAUGUAAAUUGCUCUGUGGCCUCAGAACCAACUUCCCAGUGAGAUUUUAAGCCAUUUCUUCAUUUUGUCUUUCAUUUUUUUCCCCUAGUUAAAAUAUUUUAUUAACAUAUAGAACACAUACGUUUACAUUUACACAGUACAUAUACACAACACAAUACCUUAUUUUCAUAACUUGAAGCAUACCUGCAUUGCUCUAUAUUAUACCUUUCAACUCAACUGGCUAGUUUAGAACUGUUCAUCCCUUUUGGGGGUGUGAGCCUUUCAGGCAUUAGUUAUUUCCAUUUGGGACUUAUUUCCUGAGCCCUGUGGUGCUGUAGAGAAGAAGCAGACCACCAGAAUCAUUUCAAAAUUCAGGUCUUCCCUUCAACUCCCUACAACUCCAGUUCCCCAAAAAGGGAAAGGGAGAACCAUAGUGUAGUUAACAUAUUAUAUCCUUCCAGGUCAUUGUUUAUAUGGGUGAGAUGUUUCAUGGGCUCUCUUUCUCUUUCACAUGUAUGCAUUCUACAUAUUAUUUACUUUUUAAAAUCUUACAUAAAUAUUCCUGUGUUGCUUAAUACAUUGCAUAUACGACUUUACAGUGUUGUAGAAUGUUCUUACUGCAGUCUUCAGGUACAUGAACUGGAUGGAAGGUAAUAGAAGGAUAUAAUAAAAUAAUAAGCUUGCAGGGCAGCAGCUGAAGAAGGAGCAAAAAGGGUUUUCUUGUGGGUGUGUUUCUUUGUGGCUGAUUAGCUGCUCUCCCUGUGCAAAGGUCAGAGGGGGCAGGGCUUCUGUUGAGGCAGGUGAUUAGCUGUGGGAGGAGCUUAUCAGAGCUUGCAGGGCAGUGGCGCGUGCCUAGGGGCGCGCGCAGUUUGAUCCAUCUUUUCGAUUUAGGGGAGCUAGUCUCAAACGUUUGUUGGGGGAGACCUAGGUUUUUUGGGGGGGAGUUAUUUGUCCUGUCUUCACGCUUUUUAUGAUGGAGGACCAUUGUAACCACCCCCAACGACACGUUCUCAAGAUGGAGGGGGAGGGAGCAGCUGCAGUUGCCUGUGGUUCCUGCGCAAUGUUUGCCAUCUUGCCAAAGGUUGCAGGCAGCUUUACCUGCAGCAAUUGUAUGUUGAUUGCCCUCUUAGAAGACAAAGUCCAGCAACUGGAGGAACGUGUAGCUACGCUCCAAAGAAUUAGAGAGCUGGAGCUCUUCUUGGAAGCAACAGAGAACACCGUCUCCACCAAGGAGGAGACAGGGGACUCCCCUGAGAAGGAGGCUAGUUCACCAAUACAGGAGCCAGAUAUAUGGAGAAACGUGACUCAAAGAAGUAGGAGGCCCAGGGUUCGCUCUGAUUGUUUAGAAAUACACAAUCACUUUGAGGUCCUCUCCCCUAGCAUGGAAGACGAAGAGCAGACUCCAUUUGAGGAUCUCUCACUCAUUACAGUCGAUCAGGUAUAUGAAGACGAGCAGCAAAGUCAGUCCUCAGGGAAUGUGCAGGCGACCUUGGAACAGACAGCUCACGGAAGAACCCCGACCAAACCUAAGAGGAGGCGUGUAGUGGUGAUAGGGGAUUCCCUACUGAGGGGAACAGAAGCAGUGAUCUGUGGGCCUGACAAGAUGUCUCGGGAAGUGUGCUGUCUCCCCGGGGCUAAGAUCCAAGAUGCAACUGAACGACUGCAAGGAAUCAUAAAACCCACUGACAAAUACCCCUUCCUCUUGGUUCAUGUGGGAACCAAUGACACUGCAAGCAAUAGCCUCCAGAAGAUCAAAAGAGACUACGAGGCUCUGGGCAGGAAAUUGAAGCAAUUAAAUGCACAAAUUGUCAUCUCAUCUGUCCUCCCAGUUGAACGACGUGGCCCAGGGAGAGAGGGAAAAAUAGUGGAAGUAAACAGCUGGCUUUGCAAAUGCUGUAAACAGGAACGGUUUGGAUUCUUAGAUCACGGACUGCAGUUUCUUGAAGAUGGACUUCUGGCAAGCGAUGGGCUGCACCUCACAACGGUUGGGAGAAAUGUUUUUGCCAAAAAUCUCAGAAACCUCAUCAGGAGGGCUUUAAACUGACUAAUGUGGGGAGGGAGACAGUGCUCCUGAAGGUAGGAGUCUAUCAAUUGAUGAAGAUGAUCAUCCAAAUGUCAUAGACCAAAUGGAGCAAACAGCACGCAGACCUAGUGGUGGGAGGAAAAAUCCUUAAAUAAGAGACACGGGGAAUGAUUAAUGGACUUCAAUGUCUGUACACUAAUGCACAAAGCAUGGGAAAUAAACAAGAUGAGCUUGAGCUCUUGGUACAGCAAACUAAAUAUGACAUAAUAGGCAUCACUGAAACCUGGUGGGAUAAGUCCCAUGAUUGGAAUGUAAUAAUGGAGGGAUACAAUCUAUUUCAGAGAAACAGACCAGACAAGAAAGGAGGAGGAGUGGCGUUAUAUGUCAGGGAUGUGUAUACCUGUGAAGAGAUCCAAGAUUUAGAACCUCAAAGCCAAAGUGAGAGCAUUUGGGUCAAAAUUAAGGGAGAGAAGAAUAACAGUGACCUCAUUGUGGGAGUUUACUAUAGAUCCCUAAGCCAAACGGAGGACAUAGAUGAUGCCUUCCUGGAACAGAUGGCUAAGCAUGCAAAAGGAAGGGAGAUAGUAGUAAUGGGGGACUUCAAUUACCCGGAUAUUUGUUGGAUGUCAAACUCAGCCAAGAGCAUAAGGUCAAACAGAUUCCUCACUGGCCUUGCAGACAACUUCAUUGUCCAGAAAGUGGGAGAAGCGACAAGAGGAACAGCCAUUUUAGAUCUGGUCCUAACCAAUGUUGAUGACCUGGUUAGUGGGGUAGAAGUGGAAGGAUCAUUAGGCGCGAGUGAUCAUGCUCUUCUGAAGUUUACUAUACAGCGGAAAGGAGCAGCCAAGCAUACUAGGACUCAAUUUCUUGACUUUAAGAAAGCCGACUCCAUAAAACUUAGGGAAGUGCUGGGUGAGAUCCCAUGGACAGUAAUACUAAAAGGAAAGGGAGUUCAUGAUGGCUGGGAGUUUGUUAAGAAGGAGAUAGUAAAAGCACAACUUCAGCCAAUACCAAUGAGACGGAAACAUGGAAGGUGCCUAAAGAAGCCAGGGUGGCUAUCUAAAUAACUUUUAACUGAGUUAAGAUUUAAAAAAGGAUGUGUACAAAAAAUGGAAAAGGGGGGAAACCACCAAAGAGGAAUUGAAACAAAUAGCCAGCACGUGUAGACACAAAGUCAGAAAAGCUAAAGCACAGAAUGAACUCAGGCUUGCUAGAGAGGUUGAAAGCAACAAAAAAGGCUUUUAUGGGUAUGUUCGUAGCAAAAGGAAGAACAAAGAAACAGUGGGGUCACUCAGAGGAGAAGAUGGUGAAAUGCAAACAGGGGACAAAGAAAGGGCUGAACUCCUCAAUGCCUUCUUUGCCUCAGUCUUCUCCGAUAAAGAAAACAAUGCCCGACCUGAAGAAUUUGGAGCAAAUGAUCCAGCAGAGGAAACACAGCCCAGAAUAACUAAGGAGAUAGUACAAGAAUACUUGGCUAGUUUAGAUGUAUUCAAGUCUCCAGGGCCAGAUGAACUGCAUCCAAGAGUAUUAAAAGAACUGGCAGAUGUGAUCUCAGAACCACUGGCAGUCAUCUUUGAGAAUUUCUGGAGAACAGGUGAAGUCCCGGCAGACUGGAGGAGGGCAAAUGUUGUCCCUAUUUUCAAAAAGGGGAAAGAGAGGACCCAAAUAAUUACCGCCCAGUCAGUCUGACAUCAAUACCAGGGAAGAUUCUGGAGCAGAUCAUUAAGCAAACAGUCUGUGAGCACCUAGAAAGGAAUGCUGUGAUCACCAAUAGUCAGCAUGGAUUUCUGAAAAAUAAGUCAUGUCAGACUAACCUGAUCUCGUUUUUUGACAGAAUUACAAGCCUGGUAGAUGAAGGGAACACAGUGGAUGUAGCCUACCUUGAUUACAGCAUCUAGUCUUGCACAAGAAGGGUGUCUUCCUCCUCAAUUCAUCGAUUGUUAUCUUGUGGACCAGAAAAGGAGCAUUUUCCUCUUGUGGUAUGAAUCUGGCAACUGAUAAAGUCAUGAUGACUUUCCAUUCUACAUCUUGCUGUGAGUUUCAAAAACAACACAAUUUCCUCUCCCGCUUGGGACUUGAGGUGCACAGAAAUAUUUCUGCAUGUCCUCCCUUUUCAUCACAGGAUAUUGUUCCAUACUUUUGAUUUCUCAUCAUCCUUUAUGAAGAUUGCUGAUUUGUUCUUGAUCUCAGGCACGUGAAAAGAGGGGAAAUCCCAUAACUCAUUGGAAGCAUACAGUCCUUGCAUGGAGAAUGUCCCAGGUUAAUUCCAAGUUGCUGGAUAUAGAGGGGAUUAGCUUGAAAAGGAUGGUUGGGACACUUGGAAGUCACUGCUGCUCUGAAGAAAGGAGACAGAUGCAAGGUUAGACUGAUUAACAGUUUGAUUAUAUCACAAGGGGAGUCUCCUUAAGCCAGCUUCAUAUGCUAAUGUCUGAAGGAUGAUUUAUGGAAGCCUGUGAUGGGAACAGCCUUGCUUUUAGAUGCUUUGGUGUUGACCUUUAAAGCCCUAAAUGGCCUCAGUCCAGUAUACCUGAAGGAGCAUCUCCACCCCCAUUGUUCUGCCCAGACACUGAGGUCCAUCUCUGAGGGCCGUAUGGCAGUUCCCUCACUGCGAGAACCCAAGUUACAGGGAACCAGGCAGAGGGCCUUCUCGGUAGUGGCACCCACCCUGUGGAACACUUUCCCACCAGAUGUCAAAGAGAAAAACCACUACCAGACUUUUAGGAGACACCUGAAGGUGGCCCUGUUUAGGGAAGCUUUUAAUAUCUGAAGGACUAUUGUAUUUUAAUAUUUUGUUGGAAGCCGCCCAGAGUGGCUGGGGAAACCCAGCCAGAUGGGUGGGGUAUAAAUAUAUUAUUAUUAUUAUUAUUAUUAUUAUUAUUAUUAUUAUUUGCUGAAAGAACACAAGAAGCAAGUUUUCAGAGACAUACAGAGACAGCACCAUUUUCAAAUGCCAAGCAAACGUUGAAUGUGUCAUGGUAGUCCCUUGGGUGAGACAUCCAGGUACAUUCUGUCAAUACAUAAGAGAGUGAGGUUGCAGUUGCAGCAGCAGAGCAGAGGUUAGGAGAAUGAACGAAAGCAUCCUUCUAAAUAAGCCAAUUACAUUUUCAGCAGCCAAGAAACAGCUGUAUAUUUCUUGAGGUUGGGAACACACCUCCCCCUGCCUCAAGCAAAGGAUGAUUUUGUAAAGAUUUGCUGUUUGGUGGGAAAAUGUAAGAAACAAGCCGUAGGGGGGAGAGAGAGAGAGAGAGAGAGUGCUAAACCUGGAGUUGCAAGCUAAAAGCAUACAUGGGUGUUACAGCCCCCUGAAGAUCUAAUGCAGGGGCAGUGAUUUGCUGCCAGAAUGUGUGCUCUACCAUUUUUUUCUCCAGUUCUACUCAAUUUGUGUAUUUGCAGAGAAACCCAAACAGUUUGAAAGCCAUGCUUUACGAAUCUAGGGUGCAUAGGAAGCACACUGAGCCAAUAAUCUAUUAUACAUAAUUGUAUAUAACAAAUGCUAAUAAAAAGUUUAAUUAACAGUUAAAUUUGAAGGAAGAAAUCCUAUGGCAAGAAGUGUAAAUUAUGUGAGAUCUGCAGCUUAUUCAUUUGUGGGGCUGCUGCUGGAGCUCUGCCUUAAGUCUGGCAGAGGGAAAACGAGUGUUUAGAAUUUGUGUUCUAUUCUGGGUUUCUGUGUCAUGUGACCAAGCUGGAUGGGCUUAGGAGCUAUCCUAUGUCUUUCUAAUCUGGUCCUGUCCUCACCAAACCCCCAGAAUGCUCCCUUGGGGGAACUUAUACUGAUCUCUGCUAAGCCACCUUUUGCUCCAUUGGCAGAGCCUCGGCAAAACCAGAAUAAAAAAGUUACACUGGCAUAUCUUCAGCUGACCUGGAGUUGGGAACUAAAUGCCAGCUGAGUGAGAAAGGACUGACAAAACCCGAGACCAGGAAGAAGAGACGAUGGAUGAAGAUUGGAAGAAAGUUUUAAAAAUUUAUUUAGAAAUGUAUCAUAAAAUUAUGAGUAUUAGAAAAAUGUUGGAAUGAAAUUAUUGGGCCUUAGUAGAAAUGUCAAAAAGAAUUAUGUAAGAAUAUGUUAUGGUUAAAAGAAUUUGGUAUAUAUAAGAUUUAAGUUUUAAGUUUUAAGGUUUUUUAGGGUAAGAUAAGGUUAAAAUAGAUUAAGGUAAUUUAAAUGAUAGAAUAUUGUGAAAGAUGGAAAGGAUUUGCUGAGAUAAUUAAUAACUAGAAUACAAAAAAGGGAGGUGUGAGGAGGUCGUUGAAAUAAGUUAAUGAAAGUUAAGGAUUUGGGAAUAUUGGAUUUGUUUUUAAAUUUUUUGUUUAUUUUUGACUUGUUUUUUAAUCUUUUGUUUAUUUUUGUUUUUUGUUUUUUGUAUUUUUGUUUUUUGAUCUAGAUGCAUUGUGUGUUUUGUUAUCUUUUUUGACUUUGGUUUUUAUUGAAUUGUAUUGUUUAAUUCUUAUGUUUAUCUACUUCUUUCUCUCUUUUUUCCUUCUCUUGUCUUUUCUUUCUUUUUUCUUUGUAACUUUAAAAUUCUCAAUAAAUAUCAUUAAAAUAAAAUAAAAUAAAUGCCAGCUGAGCCAGGAAUCAGGCACCUGAGCCAGAGAUCCAUUGUCUCCUCAGCUGCUUAUCCCUGAAGACCUUGCAAUAGGAUUGCCCCCCAAAAUGACCUGAAUAACUAAGGAGCAUCUAAACAUGGCCAAACAUGUUUUGACCUUCAAGUCUUCUUCAGUGGUCUGACUGCAUGUCAGGACCACACACACAUCCCCAGUGUAACCUAUGUUUAAAACAUCAAAAGAUAAUUUCUAAACCAAUAAACAGUAGAAAGAUAAAUUGCAGAAUAUGUGCAGUAACAACACUUGCAUUUUUUUUAAAAAAAGAUGAGACAAUAUUACUACAUAAUAAAAAUAACAAAUCUGGAUAUCAUCCAAAUGUAAAAUUAUAUAGGCAAAACCACUCACCCGUCAUGGCUAAUGAUAAUUGUCCAUCCAUAGAAUGCCUCUUGUAUGUAUCUUAUUCCAAAAUGUGAACUCAGAGAAUUGUGGGUUCCUUGAUCAACAGGAACAGACAAAGCUGUAAAUGAAUUUCAAGUAUUAUAAUUUGGAAUGAUCUGUGUGUGUGUGUGUGUGUGUGUGUGUGUGUGAGAGAGAGGGAGAGAGAGAGAGAGAGAGAGACUGGUUUUGCAGCUGCCAGCAGGAUUGAUUAGCUUAGCAGAAAGCAGGCACCCUUCUCUCCUAGCAAUGCAUGCAGAAGUGAGCAACGCACACAGCCGAGGAAUUAAAAGGCAGUUGGCUGCAUUUCUUGAGAGAGUCAAGAGGGAGCACACAUGAGCAAGCAGGUGUAUAGAUGAGAAUUUCAGGGACCAGGGAGACAGAAAGGUGGAGGAUACACAGUAAAAUUACUGCAAGAGACAGUGGCUGGGGGGAGAAACACAGGGAACUGAAGACAAACAGAAUGGGAAGCCUGGCAGAGGGGAAUCAAGCUUUGUAACUAUAUAAUAAGUAGGUACAUAAAUAUGGGGAAAGCAAAAUGUCACUUAGAGAAGGAUCUGAAAUAUUUUCCUUGAAGCUUGAGUUUGUUUUAUUCUGGUUUGCUUUAUUUGAUGUUUUAAUGUGUUGUAAACCACUUUGAGAAUUUUUUUCAAUAAAAUUUAAAGUGGUAUAGAAAUGAUGAUGAUGAAGAUGAUGAUGAUCAUAAAUUCAUCAAGGGGCGAAAAGGCACCUAUACUUUCUAUUGUGGUGACCAUAACCUAGAUUAAGGUGUCAUUUGGUGAGCAGCUUAGAUACAGUGGUACCUCGGGUUAAGUACUUAAUUCGUUCCGGAGGUCCGUACUUAACCUGAAACAGUUCUUAACCUGAAGCACCACUUUAGCUAGUGGGGCCUCCUGCUGCUGCCGUGCUGCCAGAACCCGAUUUCUGUUCUCAUCCUGAAGCAAAGUUCUUAACCUGAAGCACUAUUUCUGGGUUAGCGGAGUAUGUAACCUGAAGCGUAUGUAACCUGAAGCAUAUGUAACCUGAGGUACCACUGUAUUUGGGUUUCUAACACUGUAUGCAACAUGUCCUGCACACUCCCCAAAUCUGCUCCAGAGCAUUGGGGAAACUCCUAGAACAGAUCUAGGGCACAAACAAGGAUGGAGAGGCAGGGGAAAAUCCUGUUGGACAAAGUGAAAUCCUUGUAGUGACAUGACUGUGACUUAGCACCAACCAUCAGCAAAGUGGUGGCCUCAUAUUGUUUCAGACCAUGCCCUAGGAACAAUUCUGUUUGAUUGACAUGUUGCUUGAAUCUUUAGGAGCCUAAAUAAUGAUUUUCAAUCAAUAGUAGUGCUAUGUUAAGACACACAUUAGCUCACAAUGAUAAAGUAAUCUCAAACCCUGCACACCUUUUCUUUUUUUAAGGAAAAACAAUAGUGCCUUGAGGAAGAGGCAUUAAAAAGGGAUCCCCUUAACGUAGGAGCCAACUCCUGUGGGCCAUGGGUGCUUGGGCACUGACAAUAAUAUAAUCAUGGGGGCUGGGCACCCACAAAGUCACUGAGCAAAGCUGGCAGGUGUUGGCAGCAUUGCCACGAGAGACAGACAGACAGUCAGCCUCUGCAGUGUUGCCUUUGAGAGAGAUGAAGUUCUUGACUGGAAGAAUCCGUGACCAGAAAGUUUCAAGAGAACUGGAGGAAAUUUAAGGACUAUUUGAAUAAAUAUUGUAAUAUAAAAAAUUAGAAAUUACUUGAAAGAAACAAAUAGGGGUAGGAUUAAACUAAGUUAUAAUUAAAUAAAUAGGAUUUAGAAUAUUAAGAAAUGUGAAUAAGAUGGACUAUAAUUGGAAACUGUUUUAGUUCAGUAAUGAUAUUGGAAAGCUGUUACUUUCAACUACAAGGAAACUCAGAAGGGAGGGAUGUUUAAAAGGUUGGAUUUGUAAAGAAUUAAGUUUAUUGUUAUUGUUUAUCUGUUUAUUGUUCCUUUUUUUUCUUUCGUUCAUUGGUGUAUUUUUCUUUUUCUUUUUUCUGUUAUUGUGUGUUAUUCUGCUUUGUGGUUUUUGUUAUUAUUGUGGAAAAUAUAUUAACUGUUUUUUAAGAAGAGAAAGAGAGAGAGAGAGAGAGAGAGAGAGAGAGAGAUGCAGUUCAGCUCUGCCCUCUGGAGCCAGCGAGCAUGGUGUCAGAGAUGUUUCCUUUCUGACAGACACAAAGGAUUCAGAAGGGGAGGGGAAGGAACCAGAAAGUAGUAGGAACCACUGGCGGAGGAAGAGGAGUGUGGGGUAAGCGCACCGCCCCAGGCAGUGCAAUUCCAGUGGGGUGCCAUCGCGGCUGCUGCCCUGCCCGUGAUGGGCGGCACAGCCCCGCAGACGGCGUGCCACACCCACAGGAUGCAUGCCCCACCCCUGCAGGCGGUGUGCCACACCCCCGGGACAUGCGCCAGCCCCAUCCCCACCUGCUCUCCGCCCCCCGCCCCCCGGUGCCGGAGCAUGAAGCUGUGCCACUGGUAGGAACCUGAUUCCUUCACACAGUGAGAAUGAGAUAGACUUAUCUCACUCAGGAAUGCAACUUGGCAGCUCUGAAAGUUACACAGAGCAGAGAGAACUGGAUACAACAGAGGGGGCAGGGCUCAGAGGACCAGAGUCUCCCAAAAGCCAGAGACUGAGUCGUUUAGCAGAAAAGCGCAUGACAGAGGAAAGGAGGGGGAAGAGGUGGAGAGUAUCAUGUUUCCGCCGGAAAAAGAAGCUAGAUCCGGCAACUGACUCGGAAAGUGAUGAAUGAGUUAAUGAAGCUCAGACUGCUGUUAAUUGCUGAAUAAAUCUGAAGUAAUAAAACUGUCAGAGGUCGUGCCUUGUUUGGGAGAGACUACCAAACUUGACACAUGGCACCCUUUUCUCUCUGCCUCCAAAUCCGAGCCCCUCUCCAUGGAAAAGGGUGCCUCACUGGCUGCAGAGAGGAGGAGGAAGAGGAGCCAGUCACCACUGCCGCUAUGCAGAUGUGUGAUGCCACAGGCAGACAGCUGCAUGUGGUGUGUUUGACAUCAUAUGCACUAACUGCAGGCGUAUGCCUGUGACAUCACAUAUCUGCGCUACGGUGAUGGGCACCCACAAUGCUGAGGGCUAGAUGUCACCCCUGCCCCUUAAUGGGGGUGAGAGGAACAGAGAAUUUGGAGGGCAGAUUUGGGCAAAGCACUAAUAAAUAGAUUGCUAGAGCCUUGUGGUGCAUUAAUUUGUUAGAGUGACAGCAGGAACUGAAUUGAACCAUCUCUUUUUGCAUUGCAGGACUAUCUAUAGUGGAAGAGGAAUCAACGUGCCAAAAGAAAACAUCUGAGGAUAAUGGCCAGUUUUAAAGCAGUAUAGGCCUGCAUGAACAUCACUAUUUUCUUGGCUUCAUUGUAUAUUUCUAUGAGAACGUGACAGAUUUUUCUAUCUGGAUCGUCAUUAUUAUUAU